rnacentral:lncRNA from 1 species
AUUGGAAUGCUUGGUUCUCUUUCUCAACUCUCUCUGCGAAAAAAUAGUCUUACAGGUUCAAUCCCUGUUUCUAUGAUGAAGUUGAAAAAUCUAUCCAUUUUGUACUUGUGGGAAAAUAAACUCUCAGGUUCCAUACCUUCAGAAAUUGGAUUCUUAAAAUCUUUAAAAGAACUUGACCCGUCGAGUAACAAACUCUCAGGACUGAUCCCUCCUUCCAUUGGAAAAUUGAGAGAGUUAUCAAUUCUUAAAUUUUUUGACAACAAACUCUCAGGUCCCAUACCUUCAGAAGUUGGAUUCUUAAAAUCUCUAAAAGAACUUGGCCUGUCGAGAAAUAAACUCUCAGAUCCCUCCUUCCAUUGGAAAAUUGAGAGAGUUAUCAAUUCUUCAACUUUUUGACAACAAACUCUCAGGUUCCAUACCUUCAGAAAUUGGAUUUUUAAAAUCUUUAAAAGAACUUGACCUGUCGAGUAACAAUCUCGCCGGCGCAAUCCCUUCUUCUAUUAGACACUUGAAAAAUUUAUCACUUCUUGCACUUCGUGAAAAUAAAUUCUCAGGAUCCCUGCCUUUGGAAUUCAAUAAUCUUACCCGUUUGAAGUCAUUGCAAUUAAGUGGGAAUGGAUUCACCGGUCAUUGAAAUUCGCUACUACCUUCAAUCAUUUCUCAGGUUCAAUCCCAAAAACUUUGAGAAACUGUACUAGCUUAUUCAGGCUUAGGCUAGGUUGGAAUCAAUUAACAGGGAACAUUUCAGAGCAAUUAGGGAUAUAUCCACAUUUGGAUUAUAUGGAUUUGAGUAACAAUAGAUUCCACGGAGAGAUUCCACGGAAAUUGGGUCAGUGGAAAAACAUCACAAGCCUAAAAUUUUCAGACAACAAUAUCUCUGGUAGCAUACCGCUCGAGCUUGGAAAUGCCACUCAAUUACAUCUGAUUGACCUUUCCUGGAAUCAUUUGCAAGGGCAAGUUCCUAAAGAAUUGGCAAAGUUAAAGCUGUUGAUCAAACUUUGUCUUAAUAACAACAAUCUUUUUGGCGUUGUUCCUUUAGAUUUCAAGGUACUAUCAUAUAGCCUUUGGGGCGUAUGUCAGGUGGUCACCCUUUGGGGUAGCUCUGCACAUGUGUAUGAUCAGUAUUUUAUUUGCUUUUGGGCCAAAUUUGUCAUUAUAGAGCCUAAGAUGCCAGCAUUGCUCUCAGGCUGUUAUUAUUUUAUUAUACCUGAGAUGCCAGCAUUAUCUGCAGGGAACAUAUUAUGAGUGUAUGCGGAUUUUAUUUUUCACAGUUUAUUUUAUAUUGAUGAAAUUAAAUUAUAUUUAUUCAACUGACUUAUUUUAGCUAAAUAUUUGGUACUAUUAAGUACCUAAACUUAUCUUUUCCCCUUUGUUAUUUAUUUAUCCGCUCACUGAGUAUGUUGUACUCACUCUUAUUUCUUUUAAUAUUUCAGUUCCUUUUUGGUGAUCCGCUCAGCAGUCCUCAUCUCCUAGUUUAUCUUUUCUUCCACAUCGUCCAUUCAGAGUCUAGAGGAGGUCGGACCAAUCUUAGGUCUUUUGUUAUUUCUUUUUGUAAUUUUGUUAGAUCAUGUAUAGAUUGUACAACCCCAAUUAUAGCAGGUUAUAUGUAUAAAUUUCAGGAGAAGUUCUGUCAGUUUUCCUGGUCAUAUCCAUCUCUAUAGUUUUGGGUUGGGUGUGACAAUAACUGCCCUUUUCCGAUCAUUCAUCGAGACAUUUCAAGCAACAAUAUUCUUUUGGAUUCAGAAUACGAACCUCGUAUAUCUGAUUUUGGUACAGCUAUGCUUUUAUUGUCGGACUCUUCCAACAAAGCCUCAUUUGCUGGGACCUUUGGAUACACAGCUCCUGGUACGUGCCUUUUAGUUUCAUUAUCAAAUCUGUGGCUCAUGACUGCAUCAUUAAUAAAGAGAAGUCUAGCAUAUUUAUCUCAUCAUUUUUUUUACAAUUAUUUUUUUUUUCCAGAACUAGCCUACACAACGCAAAUGAAUGAAAAAUGUGAUGUCUAUAGUUUUGGAGUGAUAACACUGGAGUUAGUAAUGGGAACACAUCCAUGCAACCUCAUCUCAUCUCUUUGGUCAUUGUCAUCAUCAGAUGAUCAUGAUAAAUUGUUGAAGGAUGUGAUAGACCAGCGUCUUCUACUUUCUCAAAAUCAAGUUGCAGAGAGUGUAGUCUACAUUACCAUGUUAGCAUUUUCAUGCUUGCAUCUCAAUCCCAAAUCUCGGCCAACAAUGCAACAAAUUUCUUCAAAGUUGACAUCUAAGCAUCCUCUGGUUUCAAAGUCAGUCUCCACAAUAAAAUUAGAAGAACUACUUUCCAACAAUAUUUGCUAGUUGAUCUAUGUACUAAGGUUGUCACCCUCCUUUCUGGAGGUUUUGAUUUUUAGUUUGUCUUUUUGAUAUUUUCUCUUUGUACGCAUGUUAUCUAGCUUUUUUUUUUUGUAUUUUCACUUUUUUUAUGUUUUUUUUUACUUAAUACAUCGUGUAUGGAUUAGAUUAGGUUAGAUGUAUGAAAGAAGCUUGCUGGCUUGGAUUAGCUUGACAUCUUAUGUUAAGUUUUUUCUAAUUUUCUAUAAUAAUAAAAUUAUUAUUAUUAUUUUAAAAAAAAAUCUAUAUAAAUACGUGUGUCUAUCGAAUAGUUUUUACCUUCAAUAUAUAUUUUUCUUUUAUAAAACUUUUUUUUAUGUGUGUUUUAUGUGUGUUUUCUUUGUUUUUAGAGCAACCUGAUUUUACUUGACUUUAAUAUCCUCGAAAUAAAACUUUAGUAAAUCAAAAUUAAAUAAACCUAAGGUAUUAAGCUUUUCAUACCUGAUUUUUACUAGUAGGACAUGUUAUUUGAAAUUAAAAUAUAUAAUUUUCUUUAAAUUUAAACUAUUAAAUAUAAAGGAAAUGUCCAGCCUCUUCUUCAAUCCCUGGAGGAUUGUUCUGUUAGUGAUUUCUGUCUGGCCGUUGGUCUGAGGAUGGGCUACUGAGGAGAAUUUGUGCCAUAUGCCCAUGUUUGCUGUGAAUGUUCUGAAGGCACUGCAGUCAAAUUGUCUGCCAUUAUCUGAUAUGAGUACUCUCGGUAUUCCGAACCUGCAGAUGAUACUGCCCCAUACGAAGUUUAUCAUCUUGCGGGCUGUGAUUGUGGGGAUUGCCUCUGCCUCUGGCCAUUUUGAGAAGUACUCCACAGCCACUACUACAAACUUUUUCUGCCCCGUGGUCUUAGAAAAAGGUCCCAGGAUGUCUAUUCUCCACUGUGAGAACGGCCACGGGCUGGAUAUAUUGGACUGUGGAGUGGCUGGAGUAUUUAUGGCAUUGGCAAACCUCUGGCAUACAUCACACCUUCGGACAAACUCUUCUGCCUCCCUUUUAACAGUGGGCCAGUAGUACCCCUGCCUGAAUAUCUUAUUUGCCAGCGUUCUUGCUCCUUCAUGAGCUCCACAUCUCCCUCGAUAUAUCUCUUCCAUCACUUUUAUUGCUUCGUCAGGGCUCACGCACUGAAGCCAUGGGCUGGAUUUUCCCCUUCUGUACAAAGUCCCUCUAACUGCUUGGUAAUUAGCAGCUCGGGCAGCUAUCUUUUCUGCUUCAUCCUUGUCUUCGGGAAGCUUUCCCUUCUCCAAGUACUCCAGGUAGGGGGUCAUCCAGCUCUGGCUUUGCUCUACCUGCAAUACGGUGGCCGUUUUAUUAAAGGUAGGUGUGCUGACGUACUGUAUGUACACUUCAUCCGGGAGUUGCUCCAGCUCUUCCCUAGACAAUCUACUGAGCAAGUCUGCCUCCUCAUUCUCCUCCCGAGGUAUUCUCUGAUACCUCACAGUGAUCCCGCGACCCUUGAGCUCGGCUUCUAUGGCCUUUACCUUUGCUAGGUAGUUCUGCAUGGUAGGGUCUUUAGCCUGAUAUGCCCCUGUUAUCUGAUUGAUUACCAGCUGGGAAUCACUAUUCACCUCGAGGUCGGUUGCCUUUACCUCCAUUGCUACCAGCAUUCCAUUUAUUAGGGCCUCAUACUCUGCAACAUUAUUAGAGGCCUUGAAUUCUAGGCGUAGAGCGUAAUAAACCUUGAAUUCUCCCGGUCCCUUCAAUAUUAUUCCUGUACCACUGCCCCCAGCGCCUGAUGCCCCGUCUACAUAUAGCUUCCAGCUGAAUUCUUGGGAGGGCUGCCCUUCUCUCUCACUCCCCAACGCUCUAGAAGAUGACUCACCCUGUUCUAUUUGUUCUUCAUUGAACGAGCACUCUGCUAUGAAGUCAGCUAGGGCUUGAGAUUUUAUGGUGGUCCGAGGUUGGUACUCUAAACAGUAAGGGCUAAUCUCAAUAGACCAGGCCAGUAUCCAACCUGAUAUUUCUGGCCUGUGGAGAAUCUUCUUCAGCGGCUGAUUUGUCAUGACUACCCCCUGAUGGCUUUCCAGGUAGAUCCUAAACUUCCGAACUGCCAGUAGCAGAGCAUAUGCCAUCUUCUCGAUGUUCAGGUACCUGAUCUCAGCGUCUUUAAGCACCUUGCUGACGUAAAACACUGGUUUCUGCUCUCCCCCCUCUACUUUUACUAACACUACACUGACUGCUUGCUCUGAGGCUGACAAGUAGAUCGGGAGCUCUUCUCCUUCCAAGGGACUGCUAAGUACAUGAGGCGAGCUGAGAUACCUUUUGAGCUCUUUGAAAGCCUCUCGGCAAUCCUCGGUCCAUUCGAAGUUCGGCACUUUCCUCAACUUCUUAAAGAACGGCAAGCAUCUCUCUGCCGACCUCGACAUGAAGCGAUUGAGCGCCACCACUCUCCCAGUAAGUCUCUGGACAUCCCUCACACAGGUAGGCUCUGGCAUAUUCAGGAUAGCUUCUACUUUCUCUGUAUUGGGCUCAAUGCCUUUUCCACUCACCAUAUACCCCAAGAACUUUCCUCCCCUGAUGAAGAAAGCACAUUUAGCCGAGUUUAGCCUCAUUCUGUAUUGCUUUAGCACCUCAAAUACCUCCCUCAGAUCUACCAAGUGUUGUUGAAAGGUUGGGCUCUUCACCACCAUAUCAUCCACAUAUACUUCGACAUUCCUGCUGAUCUGACCUUUGAAGAUUUUGGUCAUCAGUGUUUGGUAUGUUGCCUCGGCAUUCUUCAGCCCGAAAAGGCAUGGCCUUAUAGUAGUAGGUCCCAUCUUCUGUUAUGAACAAGGUCUUUUCUUCAUCCGACCUGUUCAUUGGGAUUUGGUGGUAACCAGACAUAGCAUCCCAAGACGAUAUGUAAUCAAAACCGGCCGUGAAGUCGACCAUUUUAUUAAUAUCAGGGAGGGGAUAACAAUCUUUGGGACAGGCCUAAUUCAGGUCAGUAAAAUCUAUGCACAUCCUAUAUUUGCCAUUGGCUUUUUUGACUAAUACAGGAUUUGCUAACCACUGUGGGUACAUAACUUCCCUGAUAAAGCCUGCCUCUUCUAACUUCUGCACCUCCUCCCUAGUGGCCUGUUGCUUCUCCCUUCCUACCACCCUCUUCUUCUACUUCACCAGCCUAGCCUCUGGGGGACAUUCAGCUUGCGCGUCAUCACUUCAGGGUCGAUCCCGGGCAUGUCAGAAGGCUUCCAGGCGAAGCUUGACGCGUGACUUUGGAUCAGGGCCAUGACUUCAGUUUUCUACCCCUCAGUCAGGCCGGCGUUAAGACUGAAGACCUUGUCCACCUCGGUUUUUGACAAAGGAAAGGUUUCCAGCUCUCCGACAGGCUCUGUUCUGGCCUCUUUUCUCUCAUCUCUGACCUCCAGGACUUCUGAGUCAAGCUUCUCCCCUGCCGAGUUCGGCUCUGAUACCGUGGCCAGGUACACUGCCCUCGCCUCCUCCUGACUUCCUCUGACUACUCCCACCCCUGCCUCGGUUGGGAACUUCAUAGCCAGAUAUCUGAUGCUGGUUACGGCCUCGAAGUCAAAUAAUGCAGGUCUUCCCAAUAUGGCGUUGUAGUUCAAGGGGAGUUUAGCCACUAAGAACACCACAUAGUGAGUGCGAGUCCUUGGCGCUUCCCCUAGAGUGAGGGCUAGCUUCACUUUCCCCUCCACAGGCACUGGGACUCCCCCGAUCCCUUUGACUGGGGCCUAGUCCCUAACCAAUUGCUUCUUAGGGAUUCCCAUCUGCUGGAAGACUCGGUACGGCAGCAGAUUCACUUUACUCCCGUCAUCCACCAAGAUCUUCUUAACCCGGUAGUUGUGGAUGACAGCUUCAAUAACCAAGGCGUCGUCAUGAGGCAUCUGAACACCCUGGGCAUCCUCCGGAGAGAAGGUGAUAGUCAUUGGAGAGUGCUCGACUACCUGCAUGACCUCGGCGCUGCUGCCUUCCCCAUCUCGGCCUCUCUUCUUUCCCCUUCGGCUCAUCCGACCUCCGGUUCCUCCUACAAUCAUGUUAAUGGUCCCACUGGAGCCAUCAUUUAUCUGUCCCGCUCCCGUCCUCCUGGGCAUUUGUGCUGCAGGAUUCGGUUGAGGCCUUUCUCCCUCCGGCUUCUUCACGAAGUUCCGCAAGUGACCUCUUUUGAUCAGCCUCUCAAUCUCGCUGAUUAGUUGGUAGCAAUUGUUGGUGUCAUGGCCGUGUGUGCGAUGAUACUGAUAGUAUUUGUUAGGAUCUCGCUGGUUUACUUCUGCUCUCAUAGGCCUGGGCCAUUGAAGGAACUCUUUGUCCUGAACAGCCAUGAGCACCUCGGCUCUAGAGGCAUUAAGAGGAGUCAGGUUCUCCGGAACUCGCGGUGGGAGCGGUCUCUGUUCAGGGAUCCGAGGAGGAAAUGGUCUCUGGUCCCUCCAGUCCCAAGGCUGCCUGUACUACUCAGGCCUCUUGCCUUGCUUUCUCUCCUGCCUUUCUGGCCUCCUUUCUUCCGGGGCUUUUCCCCUAUCUGCCACCCCUUUGGCGAAUCGGCUCGUCACCAAGGCGUCAUUCUGCCUUAUAUACUUCUCCGACCUCUUCAUCAGCUCUGCCAACGUGGUAGGGGGCUUUCUACUUAAUGAGCCAAAAAACUCGGGGGAGGUUGUCCCCUUCUACAUAGCCUCCACCGCUCUGCCCUCAUCCAGUUCGGGGAUCUGCAGGGCCUCCGUGUUGAAACGGGCAACAUACUCCCUGAGCGACUCAUCCCUUCCCUGCCUGACCGUCUCCAAGUAACUGGUCUUCCUAUCCGCUGGUACUCCGGCUAUGAACCGGCUGAUGAAGGCGAUGGCCAGGUCCCCGAAUCUCCUUAUACUUCCAGCCUCAAGGCUGUUAAACCACGCCCGGGUCGGCCCCAUAAGUGUUGUCGGGAAUACCUUGCACAUCAAGGCAUCCGAUAGAGUCUGCAACUCCAUAAAAGUCUUGUAGCUGAGGACGUGCUCCUUCGGGUUGCCAGCUCCAUCGUACGCUGCCAUAGGUGGCAUCAUAAACUUCUUAGGGAUGGUCUCCUGCUGCACCCACUUCGAGAAGGGUGAAGAGGUGGGCAAGAGAGCCUGAUUCGAAUCCUUUGUGCCUAGCUCGGCUAGGAGCUGCUCUCUCAUCUUCUGCAGCUUUUGGUCUACACUUUCUUCCUCUUGUUUAGGCCUUUUCUCCAGGCGGCCUUCCUCCUCCCAUGCUUCACUUUCCAUUCUCCUGGUCGUUCCGACAGAGUAACUGUCGGCCUCGUCGUUCUCUAUCAACUCCCUCACCCUCCUUCUGUGAACUCUAGCUUAUGGUUCUACUUCCCCACCAGCUCUCUUGCCUCUUUCUCCGGUCUCUCGGCUGGUUGCUUGAGGAGGGUUGAGGGUAGGCUGGGGUUCAUUGGUCCGUGGUUCUUCUACCACCGGCGACAUGUUCACUAGGGUGCUGAGGCCCCUCUGUUACAUCAUCUGCCCCAGCCAGUGGGCAUUGUUUUGUAGUUGAAGGGCCAUAGCUUGGAGGUCUUGGUUGGACAAGGUAGCUCCGGGCAUGUUCCCUGCCGAGCUUGGGGAGGAGUUAAAGAGGAUUGGUGUUUGGUUGUUUGGGGUUGUGGGACUGGAAAAAGAGAACUAUUGUCCCUCCUGAGCAGAGCUCAGGUCAUUAGGGGUGUUGACAAAGUUGUUUUCGUUAUGGUUGGCCAUUGUGGAUCUCAGUGGGUAUUGUAAGAGCGGAACUCCGGUGAUGAAAAGAUCUCCUUCGUUCCCACAGACGGCGCCAAUUGAUAAUCUGAGAUCCAUAAAAUAGGGUUUUACAAGGGUUCUGUAAGCUUAUUUUGAGGGGAGGAUACUCCUCUCCUUUUAUUCUUUUCCUUUGUCUGUCAGUGACGUGUAACAGUCUCACUGUCAUUGGGCCACGUGUCUCUGCCAUAUAGAUAUGGACGUACGAGAAUAUCAGAUCCCUGCUACAUGCGUAACGGCCAUUUAAUUCCUUCCUGACGCGCAUGCGGAUGGACCCACUGGGCGAGCGAGCUGGCCACCUCCUCUCUUCCGGGCUGGGCUGGAAGAUAAGAUUGGGACUGAAGCCCAGGGAAGUGUGAGCUUUGGACCAAAAAGGCUGGGUCGGCCUGAUUGAGAAAUCUAGAUGGAGCCCGGUCUUUAAGCUGAGCGGGGUAGGUCUGGUUUCCUUGAGUGACUUGCAGGCCUUCAAAUAAUGGGCUGUCGCCCAGGGCCCAGUCCCAGACCGGGGUGAAGAAAUCCAGCGGUCAUCAAUAAUGAUUGUUACUUUAUUUACUUUUUAUUUACUGAUAAUUUAUUUUAUUUUUUAAUUUUUUAUUUAAAAUAAAAAAAUUAUUUUUUUUAAUUUAUAAAAUUUUUAUUUUUAAAGAAAAUAAAAUUAUAUAUAAUUUUGUAAAAAUAUAUUUAAAUUCUUUUUAUUUUUAAAUAAAUCAUGCCAAAUAAAAAGUUAAAAUAUGCAUAAUUAAUUAUAUUAUAUAAAUAUCAUUUUAUUUAUUAAAUACAUUAAUUAAAUAUAUAAUAUAGUUAUGAUUAUAUUAUAUAUUUUUUUAUUACAUUAUAUUGAAAAUAAUCUAAAAUUCUAGAUCAACUAUAAAUCAAUCAUUUUCUUUUCUAGGCCAAUCCAGGGGACCUCACCUUCAAUUUCAUGGAGAAAAAAAAUCAUGGAAAAUUUAGUCCCUUGGCAAUUGCAUUCACUUGUGUCAUGGACCGUGACACCCACACACGGGACAAGCUACAAUAAUUUCAAACCCUUUUUCCACGUUUCUUUUCCAACUUUAUUGUGAUAAUAAAUUACUGCAUUGUUAAGUCUUCAUUUAUAAAUUAAAGAAAAACAAUAAUUAAUACAAAACAACUCUAUAGUUAUUAUUAAACAAUAAAUUUAAUUUUAAUUAAAUUUAUAAAUUUAUGUUAAUUUAUAUUGUCAAUAAAUAAACAAAUAAAUAAAUAAAUAAUUUUAUUAAAAUAAAAAUAAUUAUAAAAUUAUAAAUAUUUAAAUUUAUUUAAAAAAAAUAUAAAAAAUUCUUUUUUUAUAAGAACCGUACCGUAUGAAAAAAUCUUAAAAAUAAAUAAAUUUAUUUAGAAAUACUAAUAAAUAAAAGAUGCCAUUAAAAAUAAAUAUUUCUCUCUAUUUUAUUCGAAUUCUAGGAUAUACUACUAACAUAUUGCACGCUUAAAAAAAAUUAGUAUAUAUCAAGUCAUGCAAAGAAAAAAAAGAUGUAAUUGUGAUUGUACUUCCUGUUUUGGCCAUUCUGUGUCCGGUGUUCUUUACUGGAGGUCUCUUGAUGCUUCUCCUACUUAGAAGAAGAAAAGCCCAAUCAAAGAAAUUAUAAGAUAAAGAGAUAUAUUAGUAAUACUAUGCCAUGAUCAAGAAUUAUAGUAUGAAAAAAAUCAUUAUGGCCACUAAGGAUUUCAACUCCAACUAUUACAUUGGAGCAAACGGAAGUGGAGUUAUACACUUGUGCUGCCAUUAAGUUGAGUAUUUGAUCUGAAAAAACUUCACUGAUUAAAGGAGUCUGUCAAGUCAAGGAAUGUAAUGGAAGCUUCUGAAAGAGAGAUUCAAGUGUAGUUAGAAGAUUGGCAUCAAAGCUCCCUUUUUUGGUUUACAAGUUCGUGGAAAGGGGUAGCUUUAACUAGCAAAGAGCAAGCAGUAGAAUUGGAUUGGAUUAAAAGGCUUAAUAUUGUCAAAGGUGUGUCCAAUGUUUAAAUUAUAUGCACCAUAAUUGCCAUUUUCCAACCAUUCAUCGAGACAUUUUGAGCAACAAUAAUAUUUUUGAUUCAGAACACGAGCCUUGUAUAUCUAAUUUUGGCACAGCUAGUUUUUUAUUGUUGGAAUCUUCUAAGUGAAUCUCAUUUGCUAGGACCUUUAGAUACAUAGCUCCAAGUUCGUGCCUAUAGUUUCAUCAUAAAAAAUGUGGCUCCAUGAGUGCAUUCUUAAUAAAGAGAAGUCUAGCACAUUAUCUAAUAAUUUAUUUCAUUAAUUAUUUUUCCCCCACCUACUAUUGUUAGAACCUUUCCCUUGCUAAAGUUUCUUCACACUGAUCAAGUUAGGAAAAAGUUUUUUUUCCUCAUAAUAAUAGAAAUUAGAACCACAUAAUUCAUUUUAUGUAGUGAUCUUAAUUUAGGAUUGCUAUCGACGCUAGAAUUUAGAUCAAUUUAAAAUCGCUGGAACUUAUAGCAAACCUAACUUGUAACUUGGGCAUGUGAUAAAUUCCAGCAUGAUCUUAAUAUAAAUAUAAAAAUGUCAUCGUAAAUCAAAAUUAGCAUGUAAAAAUUUAAAGCAUAGGCAUACACUCGGAGCCCUCGUCAAUUGCUCCGAUAAAAUCAUCAAUUACAUGCCACAGAAUUUGGUAAAACUUAACAUAUAAAUUAAAAAAAUUUUCAUAGAUAAAAGAAAUUGGGAUUCAGAGAAAAAAUUAGGGGCAUUCUACAACUGUAAACCAUAAAAUAUUUUACUUGUCCACUAUGAAAACUAUCACAUAACAAAAUAUACACCAUUAUCUUGUGGUCUGCAAACCUAGACUAGCACUGAAACUGGAGUGGAAAAUGUAAUCUUGAGGCUUGAACACCGGCUACUCUUCAUUCUGGCUCACCCACACCCUCUUUUUGGCUUUUGUAUCAAGACUUCCAUAUCUUCUUUGCUCAUCUCCUACGGAUUCAUUGUCGUCUGCUAACAUUCUACCAGGAUCUAUCCUCCUCAUGUUUAAAUUAAAGGACCUUCUAAGAUCUCUUAAUGCUCCUCUCCUGUUACUUCGGUUUACCGGAGCUCGUGAUGGAGCCGCAAGGGAAAAGGUAUCGAUACCAAUCUCACGGAUCGACAUGAGCCACGCAUUCUAUCUUCUAAAAAGAAACACCAUAAUAUUAAAAAAUUAGCAUGGUUUAUAUGAGCACACAUGAAUCCAUAAUAGAAUAUAACAUAAAUGCACUUGUACAUACUCAUGGCAUCACACAAGUAUAUGUCACAAUAUAUUACUCUAAAUCUUAUUCCCAAUAGAUAUGUAUUUUCGUAGUUUCCAAUUAUGCCUAUCUUAAAUAUAUUAAAUUUUAUUAAAUAUUAAGAGAUGUUUUAAGAGGUGUCUUGAAAAUAAGAUAAAAUUAAAUAAUGUUAUAAUAUUUAAUUUAUAUUUUAUUAUAGUCUAAAAAAUGAAAGUGAAUAAUAAUUUAAGACAAUAAAAAAAAAGAUAGAUAAAAAAUUAUGAAACAGAGUAUAAAAUUAUUAUUUAUGUAACUACUAGGUGGUAAUAAUAGUAGUUGUAAUAGCCAGGAGAUGAGGUAAGAAUAGGGAUACUGGUGAAAUUGGUAGUAACAUUGAUAUAUAGUGGUUGUUGAAAACUAAAUAAAUGAAUUAAAAUAACAAAUCAUAAUUACAUUUAUUGUUAUGUAAUAUUGGUCACGUUAUUUAAAGAAAGAAUUAGGAAAAAUUAUCAUUAAAAAAAUUUAUUAAUUGGUUCUUUAGUUUUGAAAAAUGCAUUAAAAUAUUUUUGACAUUUUAAAAAAUCUAUUAGUUAAUCUCUCCAUUAAUUUUAGCUGUUAAGUAUUUUACUAUUUAAUUUCUAUGAUUUUAAAAAACUUAUUAGUUGAUCCUAGAAUUUUUAAAAAGUCUAUUAAUUAGUCCAUUUCAUACAAGGACAUUUUGAAUUUUUUUUAAUACUUAACUGCUAAAUUAAUAGAAAAACUAAUUAGUAAAUUUUUUAAAAAGCCAUAGACGUUUUAAUACAUUUUUCAAAAUUAAGGAACUAACUAGUGAGUUUUUUCAUACUAUAGAGACUAAAUAGUAAUUUUUUAAAAAAUUAUUAUUUAAUCCAACCAUAGGAAAAAUCAUUAGUUGAUUAAAAUGCCUCUCAAAUAAAAAAAAUCUAAUAAUAAGUCAUUCUAUUAGUUUUAGCUGUUUAAGUGUUUAUUAUUUAAUUUAUGUGAUGGGAAAAAUUAUAAUAAUUAUGAUUCUUCUUCCACAUUUUCUUUCCCCUUUUAUUGUCAUUGAAAAUUAGUCCCUUGGCAAUAUGCUCAACCAACUGGACAAGUCAGAAAUUUGAUCCCACAUUUUAUAAAGAUGAUGCGAACUUCACUUCUAUCAUUUUCCCAUCACCUAUCCACGCAACAAUCAGCCAGUGUCAUAUUUGUUUGCAACCUAAAUAAACAUUGACUCAGGUCUCCUCUGAAAAACACUCUGUUAUAUAUAUAAGAAAAAUCAAGUUUUUUUUUUUUUUAAUAGAUGUUUGGAAAGGUCAAGGAAAAUUGAAUGGUGAUUAUUGGGAGAUUCCAAACGUGUAUUAUCAACUGAGUUAAUGAGUGAUAGAAAAAAAAAUUGAUUUCCAGUUUUCUUCCAUAAUGAGUAUAUAAUCGAACCAUAAUAAUUAGUCAAUGACCCGGUUUCCUCUGGAACUGAUUUUUUUUUUGAAGUUUUUUAUAUUUAUACACAUGCUGAAAGUCAAGUAUUUGAUCAUAAUAUAAAGAGAUAAAAUUGAUUUUUAACCAAAGUUAUUUUUCAUAAUAUAUGUAUAUAAUCUACUAAAAAGUACUUUCAAACCCUUGAAAAAUAAGUAAAAAUAUUUUGAAAUUUUAAAACUCAUACGUAUAUAAUUUACAAGAAUAAUCAAAUCAUACGGAGUUCUGAUUUAGUUUGUGCUUUUUAUAUAGAUACUUAAAUUCUGAGUUAGAUCACUACAUGUACGUGUAUGCAUAAAUUUCCUCAAGAAUUCUCUAUAAAUACCUCUUUAUCAAGCUAAAGCUCUUCAAUCACCCAUGAAAUAAUCCACCUUUUUAUUUUUGUACUAUAAUAGCCACAAUGUGCUUUCUCGCUAAAAUACUUUCCAAGUUAUUCCAAGCCCUGCUUGUUCUCAUCUUUCUAUCCACUUCUGCCUCCACUGCAACUUCAGCCCUUACUGAUGGACCAACUAAAGUUGGGAUGGAAGCUUAUUGUCUCUUAAGAUGGAAAGCCAGUCUCCACAACCAAAGCCAAUCUGUUUUAGAUUCUUGGGUUGGCAGGGGACCUUGCAAAUGGAUUGGGGUCACUUGUGAUAGCUCUGGAAGUAUCACCAAUUUGAGCCUCAUUAAUUUAGGCUUAAGAGGUACGCUUCACAGUUUCAAUUUUUCAUGCUUUCCCAACCUUACACGUCUUAACAUUUCCAACAAUUCAUUGCAUGGUACCCUUCCAUCGCAAAUCUCUAAUCUCUCCAAAAUUACAUACUUGAACUUAUAUGGUAAUCAUCUCACGGGAAACAUUCCAUCUGAGAUUGGUAUGCUAAGUACUCUUUCUGAGCUCUAUUUAUCAAGAAACAAUUUCACUGGUCUAAUUCCUACUUCCAUGACAAAGUUGAAAAAUCUAUCCAUCCUGAUCUUGUGGGGAAAUAAACUCUCAGGUUCCAUACCUUCAGAAAUUGGAUUCUUAAAAUCUUUAAAAGAACUUGACCUGUCGGGUAACAAACUCUCAGGCUCCAUAUCUUCAGAAAUUGGAUUAUUAAAAUCUUUAAAAAAACUUAGCUUGUCGAGUAACAAAAUCUCAGGACUGAUCCCUCCUUCCAUUGGAAAAUUGAGAGAGUUAUCACUUCUUUACCUUUAUGACAACAAACUUUCAAGUUCCAUACCUUCAGAAAUUGGAAUGCUUGGUUCUCUUUCUGAACUCUGUCUGCAGAAAAACAAUCUUACGGGUUCAAUCCCUGUUUCUAUGACAAAGUUGGAAAAUCUAUCAAUUUUGUACUUGUGGGGAAAUAAAUUCUCAGGCUUCAUACCUUCAGAAAUUAGAUUCUUAAAAUCUUUAAAAGAACUUGACCUGUCGAGUAACAAACUCUUAGGACUGAUCCCUCCUUCCAUUGGAAAAUUGAGAGAGUUAUCACUUCUUCACCUUUUUGACAACAAACUCUCAGGUUCCAUACCUUCAGAAAUUGGAUUCUUAAAAUUUUUAAAAAAACUCGACCUAUCGAGUAACAAUCUCACCGGCGCAAUCCCUUCUUCUAUUGGACUCUUGAGAAAUUUAUCAGAUCUUGUACUUCUUGAAAAUAAACUCUCAGGAUCCCUUCCUUUGGAAUUCAAUAAUCUUACCCGUUUGAAGUCAUUGCAAUUAAGUGGGAAUGGAUUCACCGGUCAUUUGCCAGAAGAUGUAUGCCUUGGAGGGUUACUUGAAAAAUUCGCUACUGCCUUCAAUCAUUUCUCAGGUUCAAUCCCAAAAACUUUGAGAAACUGUACUAGCUUAUUCAGGCUUAGGCUAGAUUGGAAUCAAUUAACAGGGAACAUUUCAGAGCAAUUAGGGAUAUAUCCACAUUUGGAUUAUAUGGAUUUGAGUAACAAUAGAUUCCAUGGAGAGAUUCCAUGGAAAUUGGGUCAGUGGAAAAACAUCACAAGCCUAAAAUUUUCAAACAACAAUAUCUCUGGUAGCAUACCGCUCGACCUUGGAAAUGCCACUCAAUUACAUCUGAUUGACCUUUCCUGGAAUCAUUUGCAAGGGCAAGUUCCUAAAGAAUUGGCAAAGUUGAAGCUGUUGAUCAAACUUUGUCUUAAUAACAACAAUCUUUUUGGCGUUGUUCCUUUAGAUUUCAAGGUACUAUCUAAUCUGGAUCAUCUUAAUUUAGCAGCAAAUAACCUAAGUGGUCCAAUUCCUGGACAACUCGGAGAAGUUGCAAAUUUACUGAUCUUGAAUUUGAGUUGCAAUGAAUUUACAGCAGGUAUUCCAUUUGAGUUGGGGAAUCUACAUUUUCUACAAGUUCUGGAUCUUAGUCACAAUUUGUUGAUGGGAAAUANNNNNNNNNNNNNNNNNNNNNNNNNNNNNNNNNNNNNNNNNNNNNNNNNNNNNNNNNNNNNNNNNNNNNNNNNNNNNNNNNNNNNNNNNNNNNNNNNNNNNNNNNNNNNNNNNNNNNNNNNNNNNNNNNNNNNNNNNNNNNNNNNNNNNNNNNNNNNNNNNNNNNNNNNNNNNNNNNNNNNNNNNNNNNNNNNNNNNNNNNNNNNNNNNNNNNNNNNNNNNNNNNNNNNNNNNNNNNNNNNNNNNNNNNNNNNNNNNNNNNNNNNNNNNNNNNNNNNNNNNNNNNNNNNNNNNNNNNNNNNNNNNNNNNNNNNNNNNNNNNNNNNNNNNNNNNNNNNNNNNNNNNNNNNNNNNNNNNNNNNNNNNNNNNNNNNNNNNNNNNNNNNNNNNNNNNNNNNNNNNNNNNNNNNNNNNNNNNNNNNNNNNNNNNNNNNNNNNNNNNNNNNNNNNNNNNNNNNNNNNNNNNNNNNNNNNNNNNNNNNNNNNNNNNNNNNNNNNNNNNNNNNNNNNNNNNNNNNNNNNNNNNNNNNNNNNNNNNNNNNNNNNNNNNNNNNNNNNNNNNNNNNNNNNNNNNNNNNNNNNNNNNNNNNNNNNNNNNNNNNNNNNNNNNNNNNNNNNNNNNNNNNNNNNNNNNNNNNNNNNNNNNNNNNNNNNNNNNNNNNNNNNNNNNNNNNNNNNNNNNNNNNNNNNNNNNNNNNNNNNNNNNNNNNNNNNNNNNNNNNNNNNNNNNNNNNNNNNNNNNNNNNNNNNNNNNNNNNNNNNNNNNNNNNNNNNNNNNNNNNNNNNNNNNNNNNNNNNNNNNNNNNNNNNNNNNNNNNNNNNNNNNNNNNNNNNNNNNNNNNNNNNNNNNNNNNNNNNNNNNNNNNNNNNNNNNNNNNNNNNNNNNNNNNNNNNNNNNNNNNNNNNNNNNNNNNNNNNNNNNNNNNNNNNNNNNNNNNNNNNNNNNNNNNNNNNNNNNNNNNNNNNNNNNNNNNNNNNNNNNNNNNNNNNNNNNNNNNNNNACUUCUCUGUCUAACCCGUACCUGCAAACCUGGGGAAUUUGGGAGAGGGGUGAGCUACUAGAGCCCAGUGAGCAGAAUCAUAAAGCAUUUAAACUUGCAUGCAUCAACAAUCCCCUUACACACUUAUAAAUCUUGCUAAAACUUUCAAAAAACAAAAGAAAAACAAGGAUCAAACUUACCUUUUGAAGAACACGAAGGUGACAGCAAGCAAGGGGAGAGUUUAAGAGAUGGAGAGAUGAGCUCCAAAGGUUCCAAGAGCUAAAACUUUGAAACACAACUCAAUCUUCAAAACAAAAGUAAAAACUCAUGAAUUCUUUAAGGGUUUUGAAGAAAUUCCACAAAAAUAUCAAGGAGAGUGCAUGGACUCACCUCUGCCUGAAAUGGAGAAAGAAUUCUCACAUUUUUGGGCUGAAGGCCUUUUAUAGAUGGCUGGAGAAACCACCUUCAGCGGCUAAACUUAAAGGUUCGACGGCCGAACCUUAAGAUUCCUCUAAAACUCCUUUUUUUUUAACACAAUUCCAAAAACUUCAAAUUCAUUUUAUGAAAAUCCUAUUUUACCCUUUUAAAGAUUUUAGUUUUAAGAUUCCGGAUUCCAAUGGAGAUUCCGUCGAAAAGUAGAAAUUUCGACACUGGAGUUUAGCCGGGUAUUACAAUUACUAACUAUAGCUCUUAAUUCAGCACACAAAGAAACAGAAAAGCAAAAAACACUCCAUGACAUAGUUGGGAAUCACCUAAUGCAACAGUUUUAGUUAAAAGCUCCUUAGCACCACCUAUUAAAAUUUUUUCCUUCCAACCCCACAAUCUAAACCACACUAUCAUGGAAUGCAUCACAUCAUAACUAAUCAUAUCAAGGAUGAACUUGUCACCAUUUAGCCCUCUACAUAUUCCAAUCAUGCCAGGGGCGUAGUGCAGGCCACACCUGGUCUUUCUCUCAUACAUAACAUAACAUACAUAAUCCAUGGUGCCGGGGGCGUAGUGCAGGCCACACCUGGACUUCCAUAUCAUAUCAUCAUGUCAUAACAUAUGAGGGCUAAUGGAUUAUUCAACAUUCAUCCACAUCAACAACAUAUUAUGCAAUGCAACAUAUUCGUGAUUUCUAAUGCAAGCAUCCUAAAAUAUCACAUGGCAUCCGUGAUGUAUGAACAUGCUCAAAACUGAUUUAUUUAUUUAACAGCAUAAGAGUUAUUCCACUCACCUCUGGCUAGCUCUGACACUGACUGAAGCAACAGACUCAUUGCUGGGGUCCUCGGUUCCUCGGGUCCGAACCUACAUAGGUGGACUCAAAUGAGGGACCAAACAACUAGAACAUAACUCUAAAAACAUUCCCCAAAAACCCCUUAAAACAUCUCAAAACAUCCAUGCAAGAACAUGCAAAGGAAGGCUGGACAGGGCACUUUCGGCGGCAGGUUCGGCGGCCGAAAGUCCCUCCAGAGCCGAAAGUCAGCAGGUUCGGCGGCACCUUCGGCGGCCGAAACUCCCAGACAGAGGCGAAACUCAUGCAUGUUCGGCGGCACUUUCGGCGGCCAAAACUCCCAGACAGAGACGAAAGUCUCCUUUCAGGGGUAAGCUUCGGCAGCCGAAGGCUGCCUCCACAAGAGGGUUUGGCGGCCAAAAGUCCCUUCGGCUGCCGAACCUGGUUUCUCCCAAAGGGCAGAAACUUGGUUCAAACAUGCACAAAUGCCUCCAACUCAAACCAUCAUGUCUUGAUACUAAAAAAAACUAAUCUCUUAGCUCUCCAAUAUAUGUAGGUAAACCCAAUAAAUGGCAUGAGCUGCAACACAACAAACACCAAAAGUGCUUGACAAAGUUUAUUGUGGAGAGUUAUCCAUAUUUUUACUAAAAACCACUUCAAAUUUAUGAAAAUUUUAUUGUGGAGAGUUAUCCAUAUUUUUACUAAAAACCACUUCAAAUUUAUGAAAAUUCACUUUUUGUCUAGAUAAAAUUUCAUACUAUUGUAACACAAAUAAAAUAACACCCUCCCCCGAUAGGUAUGGCUUAAGAGAAAAAAAUGCAAUCAUCUACAAAUAAAAGGUGAGAUAUGGCAUGUAUGCUACCUCUACCAACUUCCUUAUUCAAUAAACCUGUGAGCCCUUCUGCAUAUAACAAGAAAAUGUAUGGAUCGAUCAGAUUGCACUGUCUGACCUCUAGUAGGUCUGAUAAAACUAGUAGAAAUCCCAUUUAUCAAUAUUGAAUAAGAGGUAAAAGUGGCAAAGCACAUUAUUAAUCUAAUUUAGUCCUCUGCAAACCCCAACUGUUGCAUAACAGCUCAAAGAAAACCCUAUUCUACUCUAUCAUGUGCCUUUGCCAUAUCCAAUUUGAGUGAUAUAUGUUAUCUCCUAUUCAACCUACCACUCUGCAUAUGAUAAAAAGUAUAAAAAACUAUCAAAACAUUAUAUCUGAUUAAGAGCCUAAGAAUAAAAGUACUUUGUGACUCAUCAAUUAUCAUAUCUAAAAUAACUUUUAAGUGAUUUUGCUAGACCUUUUGAAGCUAUUUUAUACAUCACAUUGUAGAGACUAAUUGGACAAUAUUCCCCAUCAACUUUAAUUGUUUCACUUUUGGAAUAAGACAUAUAUGAGUAUGAUUAGAACCCACAGGCAUCACACCACUCCUCAAUAUCAAUAAAAUAAAGAUACUAUAUUAGACCCAACUACACUCUAGUAUUACUGAUAAAACAUUGGAGGCAAGCUAUGAGAACCUGAAACUUUUGCUGGAUGUAUUUAUUUCAAAGCUUUCAAAACUUCACUAGGAUCAAAAGGGCACAAAAUUUUGUUAUUUAUAGUCGGGGAUACUUUUAUAGAAAUAAAAUUUAAAUCGGUGAUUUCAACAAUAUAACCAAAGGAGGCAAAUUAGUCACUAUAAAAGAUCACAAUAUGGGAUCAUAAAGACACACCUUUAAGAAGAUUAUCAUUUCCAUCCUCCAAACAAUCAAUAAAAUUAACACUUCCCCGAGUGGAUGCAAGAGUGAAAAAUACCUCGUGUUUCUAUCACCUUCCUGAAGCCAUUGGAUACAAGAUUGUUUCUUGCACAUAAUCUCUUCCCUCAAUGUAAGUCUAACAACUCUACUUUCCAAAUCAACUCGAUGUUGAAGAUUGGCUUCAUCAUAAGUAAAGGAAAAAGCACCCAAAGCAGAAAGUUCAUAACGAUCAUUAUCAAUCUAUUGUCUCAAAUUACCAAAAAUAUUUUGACUCCAACCAUGCAGCAUGUGACAAUAAGACUCAACCCCUUCCUUCCAAUUGAGACCACUGUUAAUAGGAUCAACACCUUGCCACCUUGCUUGGAUAACAUUAGCAUAUCUCUCCUUCCUAGACCAUAUAGCCUUAAAACCGAAAUCAUUUACUGCCCAUAGAAGAAACAACCUCAACCCCUUCCAAAUCUCAUAUAAUAGGGAGAUGAUCUGAACCAAAAUGUAUAGUAUGUUUAAGUUGAGUUUUAGGAAACAACAACUGCCAUGUUGCACAGCUAAACCUCUAUCUAACCUUUCCCUAAUAGAACUGGACUCUACCUCCCAUUGUCCUAUGUGCACAUAUAGCUAGAAAAGCUUAAAUCAUGAAGCUUAACUUCUUCAAGUGCUGCUUUGAAGUCAUCCAUGCAUCUAAUUAGUUGAGAAACAUCGUCCUACUUCUCCUCUACAAAGAGGAUUUCAUUGAAGUCCCUCCGCAUUACCCAUGACAAAGAGCUAAUAUUAAGUAGUCAUCGCAUAAAAGCACAUGAUCGAUGUUUAUUCACCCUCUCAGGCCACCCAAAAAACCCGAUUAACCUCUACUCAAUUCUAUUAUUGCUCGGUGUUACCUCAAAAUCAAUAUGGUGCAUAGAGUAAGAAAGCAACUUCAAAGCCACAGAAUUAUCCCACCAACAAGCCAAACCAACACUGUUAUUAUGACCCCAAACCAUAAAAGCUAUUACUAAAACCAAGAAGAGACUUAAAAGCAUGCAUUUUUUUCUCAAAUACUCAUUUUUAUGAAAUGUUGGGAACAUGCGACAAACACAACCAUUACAAACGAUCAUUGCUAGGUUGUUUCCUAGUCCCUAACAGUUAUAACUUAAUAUUUUCAUUACCAUAGGCAACCAAAACCCUCACCUACGGUCACCUUUGAAGUAAUAGGAACAAUAUCAACCGUAUUAUAGAUUAAACAUACAAAAGGAAAAUUUUCAAGACUUUCAAUAACAAUAAUAUCAUUAUAAAAAUUAUCAUUGUUAAUUAUCCACGACCUAUUCCAAACCUUUACAUCUAUACUGCCACCUAUCCUCCAUCUAACUUCCUUUACUAAUAACUCCUAAGACUGCAAUAAGCUUUUCUAAAGGUAAUUUGGAUUAGAUCUUGUCUUAGCAUGUAACAAAUACCCUUGAGGGAAAUAUUUAGCUUUGAUGAUUCGACUAAGGGAAACAUUUGGGACAUAAAAAAUUCUCCAGUCCUGCUAUCUCAACAUUACUAGAUUAAAGUGAUGGAGGCUCCAAAACCCCAUACCGCCAUACUCCUUACCAAGGCACACCUUUUUUCAAGAAAGCUAAUAGAUACAUCUCUGAUCCCUAUCUUUUGAACUCUACCAGAAAGAAUUCAUUAUUCUUUGCAAUUCCUCACACAAAGAAAUAAGGAUAGCAAAGACGCUCAUACAAUAGGAUGGGAUAGUCUGUGCCACUAAUUUAAGCAGAAUCUCUUUCUCUGCACCCAACAAAAGUUUACCUUACCAACAUGAAACCCUCUACUAUAUCUUAGAUACGUAAAAAUUUUCUUUUUAUUUUUUUCAAUCAGAAAGAUGGAAACCCACAGUAUCUACCAUGAUUAAGCAGAGUUUCCACCUCAAAGAAGACGAUAAGCAUAUGUCUUAACGUCAUUACUAACACUAGAGCUAAAAUAGAUAUUGGACUUUUGAAAGUUAAUUAACUAUCCUAAAGCAUUCUCAUAGACUUGCAGUAUGUUUUAUUACAUGAAGAAACUUUACUUUUAACUUAGUAGUAUUUUUUUUAUAAUCAACUAAUUUAUAGAAGUAGAUUUUUUUAAAAAUAAAAUUUCAUGGAAGAAGUUGCAAAAUUAUGUUAAAAUAUCAAUUUUUUUUUUACAAAAUCGUAAAUUUUUACUAAAUUAUGAAGUUUAUAAUUUAAUUAAAAAUUUUAAAUGUGAUAUAUUAGAUUACAAUACCUCGUUUGAUAUUAUCUUUAGCUAAUAUUUUAUUUUGCUAUACUAGUAAAUAUUAUAUAAAUAUUAUAUAUGUUUCUUUUUUUACAUGAAGCAACUUUACUUCUUUUAUUAAGUUAAUAAUUAGUUUUUUUAUUAAUUAUUUUAUGAAAAAAAGUAGCAUUAAGAAUAUUAUAAGAUGAUUAUAAAAUUGUGUUAAAUUAUUAUAUUUUUCAUAGAAUCAUAAAAUUUUGUUGAAUAUUAAAUUUUAGAGUUUAAGACAAGAAAAUGGAAAAAAAUAAUUAACUAAUCACUUACAGAUUUUUUUAUAAAUAUUUUACACUCGGUAAAAUAUUGCUGAAUAAAUUUUAAAAUAUAAUAUUGUUUGAGAAUUGUAUUCAACAAUUGUGUAAAACUAGUGAGAAAGAGGAAAAAUAUGAUGAAAAGGAAAAUUCAGUGUAAAUAAAAUUUUAUAUUAGCCUGACAGAUAGCCAAUACUAAAUCUAUAUGGAAUUUUAAUGGUUAAUUAAUUUUUUUUUACCGAGGAAGUUAAUUAAGAUUAUAAUAAUAUAAAAUUUAAUGAUUAAUAAAAUAUAAUAAUUUUAUAUUUUUAUUUAUAUUAGUAAAACAUUAGUGAUUUUAAGAGAUCGUAUAAUUAAAAUAACUAAGAUAUCAUAAUGUCUAAAAUUUAUGUAUUUUUGUAAUUUUAAAGGGAAUAUUUGGAUAUACUUGUUUUAAUUUUAGUUAAUUGUUUCAGAGUAACUGAAUUUUUUAAGAGUAUUUAAAUUUUGUUUAUUUUAAUAAUUGAAAAUAAUAUUAUUUAAUUUUCAACUUUUUUGAUCCUUCAAUUAUUAGUCAUUUCAUCAAUUUCUAUCACAGGUCUUGCGUAUUGUUGCUUUCAAUUGUCUGUCUUCAGACAUCAAUACAUUACUAAUAAUAGAAAUAUCAACAAUAAAUUUACAUAUUAUAUUUCUCCAUAAUUACCAAAACCAAUUAAAUAUAUAUUUAAUUAAUUUCCACUGAAAUUAUAAAUUUAAUAUAAUUGGGAUCAGUUCAUAGUUAGUCCUGAAGUCGAUGAUAAAAAUUUUUAAUUUUUUUAUUAAUUGGAUUUAAAUAACAUUUGAAUUUGUAAUAUCAUAUUUUAAGAUAAUUUUUAUCACUAAAAAUUAAAAACUUAUUAUUGAUUUUCUUUUAACUUUUUAAUCAAUUAAUGAAUAUAAUAAUAGCAAUAUAUGAAUAGAUUAAUUUCAGAGUUAACAAUAAUUAAAAUAUAGUUUAUCAAAAAGUAAAAAUAUAUUUACAAAUGAACCGUAAAUAAUUAAAUGAAAUAACUAACAAAUGAAAAGAACACUUCAAUGUUAAUUAUAUUAUAAAAUCAAGCUAAAAUAAUAAUUUAGUUAAAAUUGAUAAAAAGAAAAAUAUAAUAUUUGAUAUUACAUGAAACUCAUUUAAAGUAGACAGUGAGUUAUUAUCAUAAAACAGAAUUACAGAGUUACGUAAUAAUAUUUGAUAAACUAUACGUAAUCCUGUCUGUAGAAAAAAGACUCGAACAUUUCGAGUCGAAUAAAUUCGCCUCUUAACUUUAAAAUGAAUUUCUAUAAGAAAGUUACUUUUAAAUAGCUACAAUUCAGUAGAUCUCAUUUAUGUUUGCGAUCACAAAAUUUUUGACUAAUUAACCAGUAAAAAUCUCUUAUCAAUGAACUGGUCACAUUAUCGCCAAAUUAUUAGGAAAUACUAUGUUUAUCUUCAUUUUCUUACAAUAUAAAAAUAUAACAAUCACAGACAUAAAAAUAUAUUGUUCUCUCACAUCACAACUUUUAUAUUGUAAAGACUAUACUCCCUCUUCUCCUCAACUUACUGACUUGAGUGUCGGAAUGACUACCGUAGAUAUCAACCAUCUUAUAUUUUCUAUUUUGCAAGUGGACUAAUCACAAUGCAGCUCUAAAACAAAUUGGUCUAAGACCAAAAACUUAGAGCUAUCAAGUAAAAUUGAAAGCGAAUAAAAUCCAACUGCACCGCCACUCCAAGACUAUAGCAUCGCUGAUCCUUUCCUCAUGAAAACUAAAAAAGCACUAUCUUUAAUGAUCUAGAAAAGAGUCGAUGGUUAGCUCUCUAAAUAAAUGCAGUUUUAAGAGUCAAACAACUACAAUAUAAUUUUAAGGGUUAAGCAACCACAAUAUGUGAUCGGUUGAAGGAUUUUAGAGUUAUUGUUCUCACCGCCUAAGGCUCAUUUGCAUUUUUUUUUUAUUGAAGCAAAAAGACAAAAAUGAUUCCAACACUAUGGACUAAUGAGCAAUAACGUGAAUUUACAAAAAAUUUUUGUAGAUUGCCAAAGAGAAAGCCACCGCUAGUUUUAGAAAUCCUUCACCGUUCAACCACAAUCUGCAUAUAAGCAAAAAUAAUUUUAAAAGCUAUUUACAAUCCCAUUCUAAAGUAUAGAAAGAAAUUAUUGUCUGUACAAAUAUGGAGGGUCAUCCUCUGUUUGAAAGAGUAAGGGACAACCUCUAGAAAAUUGGGAUGGAAACCUAAGAAUCUCAUAAAAAAAACUAUAGAGAGAAAAUAUCAGAGAAUAAUCUCAAGCCAAGAAAAUGACAAAGAAGCCUUGACAUUGAAAUAACCAUAUUAUUUAUAAUAAUUUAUAGUUAUUAGUCUUAAAUUUUUUUCAUGAAAAUUUAAUCCAUAAAUUGAAUUUAAAUUUAUGAUAGUUAGGAUUAAAUUAAUAUGAGUUUAGAAUCAUAAAAAUUAAAAUUAUAUAAAAAGAAUUAAUUUUGAUAAAUUAAUAAUAAAAACAGUAAACUAAAAUUUGCAUAUUAAUUGGAAUUAAAUUAUUGUAGUACUAAAAAUUUGUAAAGAUUAGAAAAUGUCAAUUUUAGCGGAAAGAUUAUCCAAUAAAAAAAAUCAUGUGUAAAAACAAAAAACAAAACAGCCAAUGAAACUCACACGUAUGACAACAAAACGAUGAUGUGGAAGAAAAUCCCCAUCAUAUCAAAAAAUAAAAUAAAAAAUAAUGAUGUGGAAGGAACUCCCUAUCCAUAUCCAUUAUCCAUGUGUACCACCAUAUCCAAAUAAUAAUUAAUAGUUAUAUAAUAAUAUACAAAAGGAAAUCUUGAGUCAUGCACGUGGCAGUGCUAGAAGCACCCUUUAACCGCGAGCAGAGAUUAGGAGCAUUACCAUAAAAUUGGCUUUUAUAUCAUUUAUCUUUCCUUUUCUUAUUGCAAUAAUUUAAUGUAUUUAUUUAUAAUAUAAAUUUCUUACGAAUAGAAAAAAAAUUUUCACGCAAAAACAAGAAUAGAGCCCACGUUUUUUCUUUUUAUUUUUAUUGAAUAGUUUUACUUAUUUUUUUAAUUGUAUCUAAAUAAUAUUUUGUGAUUUAAUUUUUAUCUCAAUAUUUUUUAAUGGUAUUUUCUUUUUAUUUUUAGUUGGAUCAAACUCUCUUUUUAUUUUUAUUAAAUAGUUUUACUUAUUUUCUAAUGUGAUUAUUUUUUUAUUCAAUUUGACUAUUUUUUUUUAUACUUUCCUAUAAAAACUUACUUUUACUCUAUUUGAAUAUCAUUAUUUUUUAAAAAAAUUAAAAUUAUGAUUGAGUUUGACAACGUUGAAAAAUUAGUUGUUUUUUUUAAUGAAAAUUAAAAAUUAGGAGAGUAAAACUGAAAUCUCUCAGAUUUAUUUAGAUCCACUUAUCAAAUUAAGUAUGUGAGUAUAAUUAAUUUUUAUUUUUAAACUGUAUAUAAUAAAUAAAUUUUAAAUUUUAAUAAAUGAAAGUUGUCAUCUUGUGGAGUUUAAAGUGCAAAAGUUUAGUUUAAUAUAUUUUUAUAAAUUAAUUUUAAAUUUUAUUUGAAAUUUAAUUUAAUUCAAAAAUCAAGGUAAUUUGGAUUCUUAUUUUUUAAACUAAAUUAAGAAACUAAAUUUUUUUAUUUUGAAGUUAAAUUUAAAAAAUCAAAAAAUUAUCUUAUAAACUGUUUUUUAGGCUAAAUUGAACUUUAAAUAAUCUUCCUAAGUUAAUUUAGAUAAAAAGACGAAACUCAAUAGUACAAUUGAGGAUUUAGCCUCUCAUGUGAUGAGGUGGAUGAUACUAGAGUAUAUUUUUAAAUUUAGAUGAAAAUUAUUAUUUAAUAAAAUUUAAUAUAUUUAAGAUGGAUAUAACUAAAAAUUAAUAAAAAAUUAUAUUUUAAAAAAAAAAUAAAAAAAAUAAAAUAAAUAAAAAUUGUGAAAUUAAAAUAGUAUUAUUUAAAUUUUAGAAUAUAAUUGUCAUCAUCAACUAUUAAAAUUAAUCAUAAUUAAUAGAUUAAGAUGUUGAUUUAAACACAUUAAUUACGUUAAUUACUAAAUUUUUUACGUCGAAAAAACUUAAAGCAAUUAAUAUUGACUUCAAUCCAGAAUGAAACUGCAAAAAUUAAUUCAAUACAUUUUGAGUGUGGAGAGGGUAGAAAGGAGAUGAAAAAAGAAAAAUUAAAAAAAAAUUAAAAAAAUGAGAUUUAUAAUUUAGUUAUUGAGUAUUAUGAUUAUUAAUAAAUCAGUUCUUAUAUUUUCAGAAAUAUAUUACAACGUCUUUAUUUUUUUUUUAUCAACAAAAUAAUUUUUUCGUCUAUUUUUACAGUUAAAAAUAUAGUAAAAAAUCAAAUUACUCCAUUUUCUCCUUCUCCUUCUCCUUUUUCUUUGAUUUUUCCGCUUCUUCUCUUUUUUAAUUUUUUAUUUCUUUAAAGAGGGGGAGAAAGAGGCUAUUCUUUUUUUUUUUCUUUAUUAUCUUUUUUUUUUUUUUGAGAAGAAUGAUGGACUAUUUCGUUAACGAGAAAAACGAUAAGAACAUUUUAAUAUAUUUAAGAAAAAAUAUAGAUAUUUUAAUAAAUUUAAAAAAAAAGUCGUUUUAAUAGAUUUUAAAAAAUGUAAAGACUAAUUUAUUAAUAAUGACAAUACUCAGUGACUAAAUAAGGAGUUUUAUUUGAGAGUAAAAUUAGAUUUUAAAAAUUUUCUCUUUCAUUUUUCAUCUAUUUUUAAUCAAAAACGAAUACAAAAAAUUAUUUUAUUGAAAAAAAUAAAACAUAAAAAUAUUUUAAUAAAAUUUGAAUUACUUAUUUAUUAAUAAUAACUAUACUCAAAAAUUAAAUAAUAAAUCUUUCUAAAAACAUAGCUUUGUUCGUGGACCUACCAAAACUACUCUUCAUGCAAAGGACAAAGCAGGCAUCACUUUCCACCCAAUUGGAACAAAAGCGACCUCCCAAAAGCUACCAACUCGGGUAGAACAUGACUUGGUAUACAUUGCUCCAUUAAUUAUUAUUUCUCUCUCCCCUCCCACCAAAAUAAGAAUGAAUUAUUAUUGUCAUCAAUUUGAAAAAAAAAUUGUUGGUUUUUAUUUCAAAUAAUUCAAAUUAAAUUAUUUUUCAACUUUAUAAAGUCAAAUUCUAUGUCAAAUAAAUUAUUAGCAAACUUAAAAUAUUUAUUUUUUUAAUUCUUAUAAUUUAAACUAUGCUAUUAUUUAAUUAUUUUAAUUUUAAAUAGAAAUUAUGGUAUUAAAAUUUUAAAUUUUUACAAAAUUUAAUAUUUUAAUUCAAUUAAAAUUGAGAUUUAGGCCUUACUAUCAAAGGGUCACGUAAAGGAAACUGUCAAAAGCCACUUUACAUUCAUUUAUCCUAUUUUGCACGAGUGGACAAAUAGGUUUUGGAUAAAUGCUACUAACAAGUUGACAAGUUUUAAUAUAUUAAAUUGUACUUUCAAGUUCACCAUAGGAUAUAAUAGUCGUCUAAAUGGGUAGUUUUUUAUUAGAAUAAUUAUUAUUUAAUUUUUAUAAUAUAAAAAAAUUUACUAAUUGAUUUUAAAAUGAUUUCAAUAUAGAGAAAUUAAUUAGUAAAAUUUUUAAAAAUUUAAAAAAUUAACUAAUAAAAUUUUUAAAUUAAAUAAUAAAAUAUUUAACACUAAAAUUGAUAAAAAGAGUAAUUGUUAAAAUUUUUAAAAUAUUAAAAAUAUUUUAAUAUUUUUUAAAUUAAAAUAUUAAUUAAUAAAUUUUAUUAUAUCAUAGAAAUUAAAUAUUUUUAUCAAACUUGCCAUACACUCAUCUCACUGUCACGUUCACAUUUUUGUACUGUACAUAAUAAAUUUAUAACACUUCAAUUAAUAUUAAAAUCUAUUGAAUCAUUUAUUUAUAAGAAUCAAAACAGUUAAAUAUAUAUAUAAAUUAAUCAAGUUAUUUAAUAAUUUUAAAAAUAAUAAAAUUAUACUCUAUAUUUUAUUCACUAUACUUUAUAUUUAUAAAAUGAUGUCAUCAGUAAAAUAGAACUAUUUUUAUUAUUUUAUAAAAAUUUAAAGUAUAAUAAAUAAAUUUCAAGUAUAAUGAGUAAAAUUUAAAAUAUAAUUAAUUGUAAUUGUGAUCGCCCUCUAAUUUUUUUUGAAAAUGAUUAAUUUAUAUUUAAUUAUUAUAAUUUUUAUAAAUUUAAAUAUUUAAUAGAUUGUAAAUUUAAUUUAUGUGUUUAAUGGUUAAUUUUAAAUAAUAUUAGUGUAUAAUAUGUACUUAGAUCGACUAUUGUUCAAUACCAAUAGUUUAAACUAACAUGAAUUUGGUUAUUUUAUGAAUUCAAAAAGUAAAUGAAGUUAAUAGAAAGUAAUUUUUUUUUUUUUGAAGUCUAAUAGAAAGUAAUUUUAUAUCUUAUUAUACUUUUCCAUGGAAAUACAGUCAAUAUUAUCAAAUUCAAAUUCAAUUUGGCUUUGGCUGAACAUCAAAAGGAAACUACUAUAGUCACUAAUUUAGUGAAAUUAACUAUUUAAUAUUUUAAUUUAAAAAUAUUUGAAUUAAUUUUUUUAAAGUUAUUAUCUAUUUAGUUUUUACUGUUAAUUAUAAAAAUUAAAAAUAAUUGUGAUUUCAAAAUUAUAAAAACGAAAUAAUUAUAUUUAUAAAGUUGCAGCGGACUAAAUAAUUGAGGUUUUAAAAUUACAUGAAUUGAAUAAUUGUGUUUUGAAAUUACAUGACUAAGUAGAUAUAAGUAUACUUUAGUUAUUUCAUAUAUUAACAUUUAGAGGGAUUAAAUUAUUAAUAUUUAUUUUUUAAAAAAUUAAAAAAUUUGUAAUUUAAAAAUAUAAGACCUAAUUAAUAUAUUUUUAGAAUAAAAAAUUAAAUAAUUAAUUUCAUUAGCACAUAUUGAAUUUGUAAUUUUUCUGAAUAAAUAAUAAGAAUCGCGAACUUAGGAAGUGUGCUUUAAUAAUAUUGUUUGCUUUGUUUAUAUUUAUGAACUCCUAUUUUGUUAAUAUUUUCUUUAAAAAAAUUAACAAAAAUACCAUAUUAUUACUAAAUAAAAUUUAAAAAUUAGAUAUACUUUUUUUCCUUUCCUGUGAUAUUGGUGGUAUUGUUUUGUAGGUUUGAGACUGAAUCGGUGUUGUACUAUACCUGGGUUCUUAAUCAGCCAAGCUGGGUUCGAAAAUGGCUUGCAAUAAAGGCGCAAUUGGGUCGUCUUAGAGCACACCUUCAUCGCCUCGUCUUGUCUUUUUGAAGCCUCCUUGGCCGCGGAGUUGUUUGGAUUUAGCUCUCCGAUAGCCUGCAUGUGCUUCUCUCUUCGUGUUUUUCCUCUUCUCCCUCUGUGGCUAGGUUGCUUGAAUUUUAUGGGUGUUUUCUUCCCCUCUCCUCAGUGCUUCAGUAGGUUCCAGAGCCUAUACAGGUAGUUGUAGUGAGGUUGUCAUUCUUAUCAGCCCAAGAGGCAUUGUAAGAGCUCAGGUAGUAGGUUCGGAUCUUUCAACAGGUCAUAAACUUGGAUUGGGUUUUAGGAUUCCAGAUACUUUGGACUUUUUUGUUCCUUUCUUUAUGUGUUUGGGUCUUGAUUCUGCUUUUUGAUUAAUCAGACUUUGGGCUUAUCUUUAAAAUUUCAAUGAGUUUCAAUGAACUCCGUAACAUUUUGCAAAAUGAAUUGAACCAAGCAUUACAUUAGACUUAGAUUGUUUCUUUUUGAGUUUGGAGCGAGUUGUUGUUAGUAUCGAUCUCAGUGUGGGCUUAAAGUGCAGCUCUUUUGUCUCUUUUCUUAUUCUUUUUCUAAUAACGCUCAUGCUUACUUAAACAAAAAAAUAAAAUAAAAUAAAAUAAAAUAAAACUGAACCAAUAUAAAUAUAAUGUUAUUAAAUUCUAUUGGUGAAUGGCUUAGUGGAGGCAUCUCAAUCUUACACCUCUAAAGAUCUUUGUUUUGAAUAUCAAGAGUGUAUAUUUUUUUUAAUUUAAUAACAAAAUAUCUUAGCAGUCCAUUUUGAUAGAAAGCAUCCUAACCAUUCAACAAAAUGGUAUAAAUACAUAACAUUGAGAAAACUCUGGCCUUCUUUCUUCUCCUUUCUAAACUCUCUCUUUCAUUCACACUCAGAGAGAAAAAAACCAAUAGCCUUUGUGCUCUCCUUCUCCUUGCUUUCAUUGUCGUUGCGGCUAUUGUGCUCAUCGUCUUCGUCGGGAGUUGCUCAGCCAAACAGAAAUCAAUCAUAGCCCGUCUUUCAGUUCUUCUUCCUCUUCAUUUAUGAUUUCAGAUUAGUAAAGUUAUAAAUGAGUUUUUGAGUUGUUCGCUUUUCUAUGUUCGUAGUUUCUGAUUUGUAAUAAAGUUACUGAGUUUUUGUUGGAUUUGCAAUAAUGAUUCGUAAUAAAGUUAUUGAGUUUUUGUUGGAUUUGCAAUAAAGAUAUUAGAUUUUGUAAUAAUUGCUUUGUUUUAGUUUAGAUCAUGUAAAUUUUCUAAUUCUGUAAUUCCAUAUUUGUUUUUGUUAUUAACUGCUGGAUGUGAUUUAUGAAUGGGAUUUGUUAAUUUCUUGUCAUCUUGUACUUCUAUUUUUUUUAACCUGUAAUUCUAUAUAUUGCUGGAUAUUUCUGAACAGGAGUUUUUAAUAUCAAGAAUAUUUUUUAUUCGAGUACAGUGAUUGUGCAGCGGAAAAAAGAAUAAUUCAACUGAAUCGAUUUUGUGAGUUUAAUUUAAUUCGAUAAUUUUUUUUAAUUGAUAUGGUUUGAUUUUAUAUUUUUAAUAAAUUUAAUUUGUAAUUUUUUUAUUCGAAUUAAUUUUAAAUCGAAAUGGUUGACUACUGAUAUAAAAAACAUCAAGUUGGGAUAUUGUUGAUUUUUAUGUAAGAAGAAGGAUGUUGGUGCCGAUUACCUAUCCUUCUCCAUUUAAUCUUUACUUCAAUGGAUCCUUUAUCAAGAUUUGCUAUUCUUCCUCAUUUUAUCUGCUACAAAAUUACCAAUAGAAAUUAUAUAAAAAUUCACUUUCAGAUUUGAAAUCCAUUGCUAAUGAAUUUCAAAAUUUAUAAAUAAAGUAUAAAUAUAUAAAAUAAUUAGUGUUAAAUUCGUUAGUAAAUUUAUUGGUAGUUCACUGACGAAUUUUAAUUUGUUAAUAAAUUUUAAAAAGUAAUUAAAUUAUUAAGGAAUUCUAAAUCUAUUGAUAAUUUGUCAAAAAAUUUAUUAAUGAAAUUAGAAAUAAAUUAUUAAAUUUUAUCAUUAAAUUAAUAAUUAAAAAAGUAUUAAAUUUAAUGAUAUAUGCUAUCCAUUAAUAAAUUCGUUGAUAAAUUUAAAAUAAAAUUUCACAUAAAUUUUAUGCAUUUUUUUUAAAUUUAUAUUUUCCGGUUACGAAUGUAUUUAUUAACGGAUUUUAAAUUCGUUAAUUAUUUUUAAAGAAAAAAGUUUCACUUGUUUUUUUUCAAAAUUUAUUAAUAGAUUGUGAAUUUAUUACUAAUUUUUUUGUAAUUCGUAUUAUAAAUAUAACAUUACCUACUCUUCUUUUAUCAUUUUUUCUUUUUUUAUUUUCUUUUCCUUUUUUCAUUUUCUUUUUCUAUCAUUUACUUUCUCUUUUUUAUUAAUUUCUUUCAUUCUACUUUUUUAUCUCAUAUUUUUUUUCCUCUCAUUUUUUAAAGAAAGAUUUAUAAUUUAAUUCACGAAUAUUGUCAUUAUUAACAAGUCAGUCCCUGUAUUUUUAGAAAUUUAUUAAAACAUCCUUAUCUUUUCUUUUUAUAAAUGAAAUAGUCAUCUCAUUAAUUUUUGCCAUUAAAAAUAUAGUAAAAUACUAAAUUACCCCUUCUUUUCCUCCUCCUCCUCCUUUUCUUCUUUAUAUAUUCUUUCUCUUCUUCUUCUUCUUCUCUUUCAUCAUCAUUAUCAUCUUUUUUUUUUUUUCUUCUUUUUUUAGGAGGAGGAGAGAAGAAAGAGGAUUUUUAGAAAUUUAUUAAAACGUCCUUAUCUUUUCUUUUCAUAAAUGAAAUAGUCAUCUCAUCGAUUUUUGCCAUUAAAAAUAUAGUAAAAUACCAAAUUACCCUUCUUUUCCUCCUCCUCCUUCUUCUUCUUCAUCUAUUCUUUCUCAUCUUCUUCUUCUUCUCUUUCAUCAUCAUCAUCUUCUUUUUUUUUUUCUUCUUUUUUUAGGAGGAGGAGGAGGAGAAAGAGGAGGGACUAUUUCAUUGACGGAAAGAAUCGAUAAAAACGUUUUAAUAGAUGUGAGAAAAGAUAGAGACUAUUUCGUUGACGAAAAGAAAUAAUAAGGACAUUUUAAUAGAUUUAUGAAAAUAUAGAGAUGGACGAUUUCGUUGACGGAAAGAAACGAUAAGAACUUUUUAAUAGAUAUGAGAAAAGAUAUGGACUAUUUCAUUGACGGAAAGAAAUGAUAAGAACAUUUUAAUAAAUAUGAAAAAAAAUAAGAACGUUUUAAUAGAUUUUUGAAAAUGUAAGGACUGACUUGUUAAUAAUAACAAUAUCCAAGGACUAAAUAAGAGGUUUUAUUUGAGGGUAAAGUUGUAUUUUAAAAAUUUUCUCCCUCAUACUUUAUCUAAUUUUAAUGGAAAAGAGAACGGAAAGACUAUUUUAUUUACGGAAAAAAAAGAUAAAAAUAUUUUAAUAGGUUUCUAAAAAUAUAAAAAUUGACUUAUUAUUAAUAGCAAUACCCAAAUACUAAAUUGUAAAUCUUUUUUAUAAAAUUAUUUUCCUUUCGUCUCUUAUAUUUUUUUCUUUCAUUCUCUUUCUUCUUCUAUUAUUUUCUUCAUUUUUCUUCAUAAUUUACAUUCAUAUUAGUUUCUCGAAUUUAUAUUAUUUUUUCUUUAAUCAUUUAUUCUCUUUUUUUAUCAUUUCCCUGACCAUCUUUUACUCUAGUCUCGUUCUCUCUUAUUUUCUAUAAUUUUUAUUUUUCUAUCAUUUUUUUUCUUUUCUUUAUCAUUUUAUAUCAUUUACUUUUCUUUUAUUUACAUUUUCUGUAUUUAUAAUAAUUAUUGAACAUAAAUUAAAAAUGUAAUAACAAUAAUAAUAUAAUUUUAAAUUUUAUUGAAUUAAUAAAAAAUAAUAUUAAUAAUAAAAUUUUUUAUUUAAUCAAAAUAAUUAUUAUUUUUAAAUUAUUUAAAUUCCCAAUAAAUUUAUUAAUAAAUUGCAAUCCGUUGAUAAUUUAUUAACAGAAUUAUCAAUGAAUUUCAUAUCCACUAAUAAAUUAUUUUUUCUUAAUUUAUUAACGGAUUUAAAAUUGCUUAGUAAUAAUAAUGAAAAUUUUAUUAAUAAAUCUGUUAGUAUUACUAAGCAACUUAAAAACUGUUGGUAAAAAUUUAUUAACGAGCUUUUUAAUGAGUGAUUGUAAUAUGUUAAUAAUUCAUUAAUAAUUUAUUUACCAAUAAAUUUUUAUUAGAUUAUCAAUGAAAAAAUUCAUUUAUAAUCCAAAAAUUUCUAGUAGAGAUUUGAUUUCAAUGUUGCUAUUGUUGAUUUGCUAUUAGUCCAGUUGCAGUUUUUAUUUCUUCUGCUCGUGGAUGAUCGGUAGCAUUUGAUGAAAUAAGUAGAAUAAUCCUGGUUAUUGGAGCCAUAUGUCUCUCACCUCUUCUUUGGUUAUUGGGCAUAUAAAUCUCACCUCUUAUUCGAGACAAUGUCUUAAUAUAAACUGUUAACAGGAAUGAAUACAGUGCAUCAUUAUUUUGUUUACCGUAACACAUUCUUCACUAAUGUUGAUGAGAUUGUAUUUAUUUGUAGGCUGAGUUUAGAGCAAUUCAUUGAUGUCCAUGAGCAAGAAGGAAGCUACCCUGGAGGAAUUCACCUAGAGAUGACUAGCCAAAAUGUUACCGAGUGCAUUGGUGGGUCUAGAACAAUAACUUUUGAUGACUUGGGCUCAUGCUAUCAAACACACUGAAGAGACAGAAGGAGAAACAUGCCUUUUGCCUUCUAUUCAGGAUGUAAUGAGAUUUACAAGAGAAAGUUAUCUGAAAUCUGUCUUAAUGGAACACCCCUCACGUGGAGUAUAACAUGUGCUCAGACUCAUAAAAAGACAAUUAUACCCAUGAGACAACAAAGGAUAUAACAAAACAAUACAGCAACAAAAUAAUAUGAUUUUUAUGAUUAUUUUGCAUUCUCUACACGCCCCCUGCAAGUUGGAACUGGGAUGGAGACCAGGGGCAACUUGGAACAAAGGCGGUGAUGCUGAUUAGAAGAUAAGGGCUUGGUGAGCAGGUCUGCAAGUUGAGCAGUAGUGGAAACAUGCAAAGGGUGGAUGAAGCUCCGCUGAAGCUACUCACGGACAAUAUAGCAAUCAAUCGAAAUGUGUUUUGUACGUUCGUAAAAAAUCGGAUUAGCGGCAAUGUGCAAGGCAGCCUUGUUGUCGCAGUGGAGAGGGAUUGGCAGCUGAGUAGGUACCUGCAAGUCUUGAAGAAUAUAAGAAAUCCACAAUAAUUCACAAACAGUACUAGUCAUGGCACGAUAUUCCGCCUCAGCGGAUGAUUUUGAGACAGUGGGCUGUUUCUUGGUUUUCCAGGAAAUCAAUGAGGAACCAAAAAAGAUGCAGAAUCCAGUGAGAGAUUUGCGCGAAAAGGGGCAGGAGGCCCAAUCAGAGUCACAGUAAGCUGUGAGAGGCAUGGUGGCAGUAACAGGGAAGCAUAGCCCUUGAUGUAGAGUGCCUUUCAAGCCAGGCUUAAUCCUUCUCAACCUAUGGAGCUAGCAUUUAUCAUUGCAGAGAGACUUAGAAAAAGAAGGAUGGGAACCCGGUGCCUGCUUUCCUUAAGCCUGUAAGGUGUAACCAGAGAGCCAAGGUCUUGUAUUAUUUCUUAGCUCUCAGUUGUGUAAAUGUAUUUAAUGAACAAAUGUCAUGCUUUGUAUAGAUUUCAAUGCUAGUGUUGUGACCACUAGCUGCUACCACAACUAUUCUUUCCAAAAAUUGAAAGCAACUUUGGAGUCGCACAACACAUAGCUUGCCAUAACAAAGCAUUUCUUGUAUCUUUUUCUUUAAAUUAAUUUUAGCCGUGAAGGGAUUUUUCUUUAACUAUGCGUAUGGUUGAUGCAGUGCCCUCAAUGGAAAAUGCAAAAGCAAUGUGCUAGAGAGUAAUUUGGGUUGAUGCAGUGCCUUCAAUGCGUUUGUAGAAUCUUAUUAGUGGUUGAUGUUCUAAAAUCCAAAUAAAAUAGUAUCUAAAUUUAGUAUGGGAGAAUUACAUAUUCCUUAUUUUAUUCUUUUUUUCUUUAUUUUCUAGUGAUACAUAAUCACCAUUAUGCUAUAGAGCCAUGUGUCUCUAUCAUGCAGUCCCGUACAUACGGACGUACCACAUACAUGCUAGUCCAUGCUUGUCGGAUGACCAUUUAAUUUCUCUCCAGCGUGCAUGUUGAUAUGGUCGGAGCGUAAUCAAACUUGUUCUCUUGCUUCCUGUCACUUUACUGGUGCUAGAGCCUCUUUUGAGGAGUUCAGUUUUUGAAUCAGUCCGGCUUGCUUCAAUUACAGAUUGAGUAGCGCACUGAUGGAUUGACCUACUUGGUGAACUCUAUUAAAUUUUGGGCUUGUUUCCCUUCUCCGGAUAGUAAUUUGGAUUAAAAGUUUAUUUAUUGAUUAUGCAGUAUUGAAGUUUGAUCAAGUUACUGUUGGGAUUUUUCUAGCCGAGAAAUAAAAAUAAGCAUACUGCUAAAUUGAGAAUGGAUCAUCAGAUAUGGAUAUCAUUUUAUGGGUUCUUUGUCUUUAGCAAUUAAUAUCAAUAGAGAUAUGUACAAACUAUUAAUAUAUUUUAUUGAAAUAUAUAAUUAUUAUUAAUUGCGAAUACUUCCUCUUAUUUAUUAUGAUGUUAGUAUUUAAAUUUCAGCUAUAAUAAAAAUAAAAAUAAUUUUUAUUAGUAUUUUUUAUUAUAAUUUAUAUUGAAAUGAUUGGUUAUUAAAAAUUACUAAUAUAAUUAAAAAUAAAAUAUUUAAAAUUAUAAAUAAAUUUUCAAAUAAAUAAAAUAUUUGUUUGUGAUAGUUGAAAACAACAAUAAUAAAUGGUCAUUCUGUUUGUAAUAUUAAUGAAAUUUUUAUUUAUAAUAAAUGGUCAUUAUGUUUAUAAUAUAAACGAAUUAUAAAUGAAAAUUUUCUUUGUAAUAAAAUAUCUGUUUGUAAAUUAAGAUCAAAACAAAGGGAAAUUAUAAACGGAUUUGAAAUCCAUAUGUAAUGUAAGUGAAAUAUCUGUUUCUAAACCUAUUUAUAGUACAAAUGGGCUUUUGAUUCAUAUUUUUGUUUGUAAUAUAAAUGGAAAUUCUCUUUAUGAUAAAGAAUCCGUUUGUAAAUUAAGAUCAAUUAACAAAAGAAAUUACAAAUAGAUCAAGAGAUUUGUAAAUAAAAUAUUCAUUUGUAAAUACAUUUAUGGUAUAAAUAGGUUUUUCGAUCUGUUGAAAUAAAAUUACAAAUAAGAUUUACAAAGAGCAAAUUUAAUCCGUCUAUAAACGUAAUUAAAGAGAGUUUGCUUCUUUACAAUCAGAAUUUUCCAUUUGUAAAUUCAAUUUUUUUUAGUAAAAGCUAUAAUUUUCAUAAAAAAAUAUAUAAAAUUUAAUUUUAAAAUUAAUUACUAAAAACUUUUAAUUUUAAAAAAAUUUAUAAUAAUACAUUAAAAUUUAAAAAUUUAUUAAUUAAAUUCUAAAUUUUUUAAAUUAUUACUAAUUUUAUCAUAAAUUUUGUUAAUGUGACAGAUAUAUACCAUAGUGAUGACGUAUCAAAUGACAUGACAAUUUUAUUAGUUUUUAACAAUAAAGGUAAUCGUAGAGUGUAUUUUGAACAAAUUAUAAAUUUUAAAGUUUAAUCGACAAUAAAUUUAAUAUGGAGUGCAAUUGCUAUAAUUUCUAAAAAAAGAAUUUUUUUAUUAAUUUUUUAAAAAGUUAUAUAUGUAUAUAUUUUUUUUAAAAGUUAUAUUAUUUUUAAUAAUUGAGUUGUAUUAUCAUAUGAAAUUAUUAAUUAAAAAAUGAAGUUUGAUUUCAAAGCAUACAUUUGGAUCAAUUAGAGAAGAAAAAAAUAUUAAAAAUUGCAACAUAGACAAUAAAAUUCAACCAUAAUUCUUGAGUAAGGACAUAGUAUACUGUAUCUUUUUGUGAAAAAAAGUUACCCUGAACUUUUGUGUUUUGAAGUAUAAUAAUACAAAUGGCUACAUUGGAUCAAUUUGAGAAUCUACUGAUUAAACUCUUGACAACUUUUCUUCUUCUACAACUUUACCUUCGUUUUAUCCGUACUAUCUAGAAUAUAUAUUUCUUCUUCUUUUUGAUUAAUAUCCCCAAUCUUUCAGAGUUGAUCCUUGGAAACUGCAUAACAAAAAAUACAGCAGAUGCACAAAACUCAUAAUUGCAAGAAACCCAUAGUAAUUGUCAUAAUGACCCUUAUUAAUAUUAUUAGGAACCAUCCAUCUUUGCCUCCUUCUGAAGUAAUUUGAUCAACAAUACUCAGAAUAAUGGUUGCCAACAAAUUUGCCACUGUUGUUCUUAGUCCAAAUAGAGCACCUGCAAUAUUUGAGAAGUUCUCUGGGAACUCUGAAUAAAAGAAUUUUGAUUGACUUAUAGAGUUAAAUACUUCUGGUAAGCCAUUCAAGUUAAACUGUGGUAUGAGCCAUAGUGCAGACAUCUCCAGAACAACUUGAGAAUUGUUUAAAUAACCUUCCAUGAUUGCUUUUCUUCAUCGAAUGUUCUCAACGAUUCCUACAACUGCCAUAGCCAUGCUAGAAAAAAGUAGACCGAAACGUAUUCUUAAUUUAACAUCGAGUCUCAUUGGCUCACAUUUUAUUUUUGAUGCCAAGGGUAGGAUUACUUUAUCAUAUAAAAAAAUUCAUGCUAUUAUUGUUAAAACUACAUCGUUUAUGUUGUUUAUUUUACUACUCUGUAUUGUUAAACUGUGUCAUUUUUAUUAUUGGUUCUUUUCAGAUAGUGUAGGACUAAUCUGUAACUUUGUGAUUGGCUCUCUAUACACAUGACGUGCACAAGUUGUUGUCUGGUUUUGAAGGAAGCGACAAGCUUCCAGAACAUUUUGUAAUGUCAUUUUUCUCUCUGAAAUAAAAUUAUCUCACUUUCUCGUGUUUUUAAAUAUGGUAUCAGAGCUAGGGUUCUAGCUCACACCGGCGUAUCGCCGGUUGCAUGAAGGCGAUCCUUUAUUCCUUUGAAAGAUCUGAUAAUGGCGGAGCGAUGAAGCAGUAGCAAGGAUCAGAAGGCGACUGGACCACCCGAGAAAUCGCAGAUUGCGAAUGUCAGAAUGGAAGAUAUGCUGAGCCUUUAAGCCUCUGACCAUCUAGUAUGAGUUUAGUUUCUGCACCUCUUAUAGGGUCUAAUUUCAGAUCUUGGAGUAGGGCUAUCCCUAGGUGCCAAGAUGAAAUUAGGAUUUGUCGAAGGCAUAACUUCGGCACCUAGCAAAGAUUCUAAGAGUUAUGAACAGUGGAAAAGAUGUGACUUCAUGGUCACAUCUUGGAUCCUUAACUCCAUCUCUAAGGAGUUGGUUGAUGGCUUCAUAUACACUGUUUCUGCCAGAGAUCUCUGGCUAGAGAUCUGUGAGAGAUUCGGAGAGUGCAACGAACCUAUGAUCUAUGAGUUGCAUAGGAAGAUUUCUCUUAUAUCUUAGGAAAAUGCAUUUGUGUCACCCUACUUUACUAAGUUGAAGAGAUUAUGGGAUGAACUUGGGUCUGUAGAAACGCUUCCAACCUGUACCCGUGGAGCGUCUAGGGCUAUAGCUGACAUAACCAACAGAAAUAGGCUCAUGCAAUUCCUGAUGGGUCUGAACGAGACUUUUGGGUCUGUAAGGUACCAAGUGUUGGAGAUGGACCAUCUGCCAACAGUAAACAAAACUUACUCUAUGGUUGUAAAAUUUGAAUCUCAAAGGGAAAUCUUAAGAGCAAUGAAUGACAACACUGAAUCUCUUGCCCUAUUAAACAAAACUCAAUCUCAAAAUCUGACCAGACCAAGAAGGUCUGAGAAUAAGAAGGGACAUUGUACCUUCUGUAACAUGAAUGGUCACACUCGGGAAGGGUGUUUUAAGUUGAUUGGCUACCCUGAUUGGUUCAAGGGUAAGAACAAGACUGGGACACAACCAGUCAAAGGUUUUAGAAGCACCAAAAUUAUGGCUGCUAUUGAAGGAAAUAAGCCAGAAGAGGAUAGUCCUCUGGAAUAUCUGGACACGUCAAAUAGCAUACAUGAAUUGACAUCUAUGCUGAGUUCUUUGAAACAAAAAAUGUCUCCCAACUUGCAAAGGGUAAAUGAAUUCUUGCCCCAAGCACAUCUCAUAGACCAAAACCACACUUAAUGGACUUUGCAAGUAAACCUACUAUAUAUGAGGCCUGUAAUACACAAAUGCACACUAACAUUAGUUGGAUCCUAGACACUGGAGCCAUAAACCACAUGUGUUCAAAUAGCACUCUCUUCACUACUUUGCAAUCAUCACACAAGCACAUAUCUAUAUGCUUUCCAGAUGGAAAAAUAACUCAGGUUUCUCAAUUUGGAAAGCUAAAUCUUUUUAGGAAGCUAAUUCUAGAUGAUGUCUUAUAUGUGCCUUAUUUUCAGUAUAAUUUGAUCUCUGUUAGUCAAUUAAUAAGUAGCUAUGGUUACUGUAUAAUGAUAUGCCAUCAUUACUGCCUCAUACAAGAUCCACUGAAUAAGAAGGUGGUGGCCAUAGGCAAGAAACAGAGAGGUCUUUUCAGAAUAAACUAGAUGAGUUUUUCUCAUUUUGAUAUAAGACAUUGCUUACUUAAGAUCAUGAAAUCUAAUGAUGGUCUUUACAACUUUGUAAAUAGUACUCUCUCUCUCAUGGAAUCAAAUAGAGACUACUCAAUGCAAUAUGAACAAGCACAUAAUUGUAUGGUGACAAUGAAUGACAUCCAUGAUAGACUAGGACAUGCAUCCAUUAGUAAACUCAAAUACAUUAAACGGAUGAAUGUGAACAAUGAGCCUAUGAAAUGUUGCCCUGUAGCCCUUUAGCAAAACAGGCCAGAUUACCCUUCCCCAGAAGCCACACCUUGGCUUCAAAACCUUUUGAAUUAAUUCACAUUGAUAUAUGGGGGACCUUAUAAGACCAAUUCUUUUAUUGGAGCUAAAUUCUUUCUCACAAUUGUUGAUGACUAUAGUAGGGUUGUCUGGACUUUCAUGAUGCACUUAAAAAGUCAAGCCUUUAGUUUAACUAAACACUUCAUUCAUAUGGUAGAGAACCAAUUUGACACUAUCAUUAAAGUUAUUAGAACAAUCAUACACCAAAGAUCUUGUCCAUACACCCCAUAACAAAAUGGUGUUGUGGAAAGGAAACAUAGACAUAUUCUUGACACUGCCAGAGCACUAAAAAUGCAAUCACAUGUUUCCAUUCAAUUCUGGUCAGAAUGUAUUCUUACUGCCACUUACCUGAUAAAUAGAAUGCCUAUGGAAUACUUUGAUUGGACCACUCCCUAUGAGAGGCUUUAUGGGACCUCACCUAACUAUUCUCAUUUAAGAAAGUUUGGUUGUUUAUGCUUUGCAAUAUCUGUGGGAACGUAAAAGGAUAAAUUUCAAGAAAGAGCUAUUAAAGCUGUAAUGAUAGGCUAUGCUAACACACACAAAGGCUAUAAAUUGUAUAACAUGAAUGAUAAGUCCUUCUUUGUGAGUAGGGAUGUCAUUUUCUAUGAAAAUAUCUUUCUCUUUCAAGGGACUGAUAUGAUUGAAAGACCUGUGGUUCCUCUUCUUGUGGCUAAGGAUGAUCAUAUAGAUCAAGAUUCCUCUCCUUCUAGUCAUACUAGUGAGGAUCUUCAGAAUUGCCCUCCAGUUAGAAGGAUUUAAAGACCAAGAAAGGCCCCUGCCUGGAUGCAAGACUAUGUUAAUUCUUUACAAACAUCCUCCAUGUCUUUUUAUCCCCUGCAUAAAUCUUAUAUUUGCAAUAUUAACAAAAUUACUGAACCUUGUACUUCUACUCAAGCAUCUAAGGAUGCACAUUGGGUAGAGGCCAUGAAGUAAGAGUUUCAGGCCUUGAAAAGUAAUAACACAUGAGUUCUUACUAGUCGACCUAAGGAUAAGAAAGCAAUAGGCUGCAAGUGGAUCUAUAAAGUAAAAUUCAAACCGAAUGGGGAUGUAGAAAGGUAUAAGGCCUGAUUAGUAGCUAAAGACUACAACCAAAUAAAGGGCCUGGAUUACAAGGAUAGAUUCUCUCCUGUGGCCAAACUUACAACUGUGAGAAUUUUUAUUACUCUUGUCACUUCUAGACAGUGGCUAAUUUUUCAACUAGACAUCAAUAAUACUUUUUUGCAUGGACAUCUAGAUGAGGAGGUGUAUAUGAUACCUCCACAAGGCUAUCACAAAGCCCAGCUAUGGGAAUUUUGCUUGCUAAAAAAUCCUUAUAUGGGCUUAAACAAGCCUCCAGGCAAUGGAACAUUGAAUUCACCAACUUUCUCAAAAGUUUAGGCUUUGUGCAAUCUCCCCAUGACCACUAUUUAUUUACACAGCAUACUGGAACUUUGACUUUGGUAUCACUUGUCUAUGUUGAUGAUGUCAUUCUAACUGGAAACUGUAUUGAUGCUAUAACUGAAUGCAAGCAUGCUUUACAUUUAAAGUUCACUAUUAAAGAUUUGAGACCCAUGAAAUAUUUUUUGGGUCUAGAGAUUGCUAGAUCCACUCAAGCAACCUAUAUUAGUCAAACUAAAUACAUUUUAGAUGUAUUAAAGGAUGCAGACAUGUUUAAUUGUAAGCCUGCCUCCUGCCCUUUACCUCAAGGUUUACACUUAUCUCCUGAUACAAGGGAGCCUUUUGAUACACUUGAUUUGUAUAGAAGGCUCCUUGGUAGAUUGCUUUACAUUAAUCUCACAAUACUUGAUAUUUGCUUUGUUGUCCAACACUUAAGCCAGUUUUUCAGCAUGCCCCAAAAGCCCCAUUGGGAGGUUACUUUACAUGUGCUUCGUUAUCUUAAAGGGUCCUUACAUCAAGGUCUCUAUUUUCCAGUAAGUGCUGACAUGUCACUGAAUGCCUACUGUGACUCUGAUUGGGCUGCUUGUACCUAUUCCAAAAAGUCACUCUCUGGUUAUUGUAUAUACCUAGGGUCCUGCCUUAUCUCUUGGAAAACUAAGAAACAUCUUACUGUUUUAAAUCCUUGACCGAGGCUGAGUAUCGUGCUAUGACUAACACUGUAUGUGAACUCCUCUGAAUUAACUAUAUUUUACAGGAUUUACAGGUUACUAUCCCAUUGCCAAUCCCAUUGCAAUGUGACAACAAGGCCGCCAUGCACAUAGCUGCGAACACGAUGUUUCAUGAACGUACAAAGCAUAUCGAAAUUGAUUGCCACCUGGCCAGAGAUCAACUUCAACAGGGAUUCAUAUUGUCUCAUUAUCUCCCCACCGAAGGACAGUUGGCAGACAUAUUUACAAAAGCCUUGCCUGCAUGUCAUCAUGGCAGCCUCACUCACAAGUUGAAUCUUUUGCCUUUACCAUCUUCAACUUAAGGAAGGGGUGUUAAAACUACAUCGUUUAUGUUGUUUAUUUUGCAACUCUGUAUUGUUAAACUGUGUCGUUUUUAUUGUUGGUUCUUUUUAGCUAGUGUAGGGCUGAUCUGUAACUUUGUGAUUGGCUUUCUAUGCACAUGACGUGCAAGAGUUGUUGUCUGGUUUAUAAAGAAGCGACAAGCUUCCAGAACAUUUUGUAACGUCAUUUUUCUCUUUGAGCUUUAUCUCGCUUUCUCUCUCUCUCCCUCUCUCGUGUUUUUGAACAAUUAUAGAGAUGACUAAGAACAUAGCAAAAGAACCUGUUAGGAUUUUGAAAUUGGAAGUUAGGUGUCUAUCUAUGGAGCUAGCUUGGAGCAGUUGGAUGUGUCUUGGUUAACAUUUAUUGAGAUCAUAAUCCUUAUAGACCAUAUUGGGAUAACGCUGAUGAUAACUUUGAGUUCUUCUACUCUCUUUACUAUGCAAAGACUCUAUGGGUUUGAUGCUGAUCCAUCUAGAGCUAAAUCUUGUUAGGGGUUUAUAAUGAUCCAAACCUUGUUGAAGAACCUAACAAUAAUAAUUUUUUUAUUAAUACCAAUAUAUUGGUUUCUUCAGUUACUACCUUUUAGUAAUUUAAUAAUACCUUCUUGUGAUAAUUCUUGCUAUCCAAAUGAACUUUUCUAUUCUUGUAAGCAGCCACGAGGACUUGUGCAAAGCCUGCGAGUAAAUUUGUGCAUUCUUUCUACUUGAAAUAAAGUGGAGAAGCAACCAAGAACUAGAAAACGAACAAGAACAUAAGGAUUGCAGGAACCCUAUGACUCUCUUUCCAAUCAUGGUGUUCUUGAAUAUAAACAAUUGUUGUCAUAGACAUCAAAACAAUAAUAGUUGUGCAGGCAUAAUACCAUUCGAAGUAGCUCUUCAACAUCCCUUAUUUUUUGGAUUAGAUCUUUUGUCUAAUUGGUCAUCCUCGAAAUUUUACACAAUUAUUCAUAUUUUUUUACACCAUAUCGAUUUAUUUUGAUUAAUUCUUCUUAGUUUUAUUGGAUUUUUAUAUUUAAUUAUAAAAUUUUUAGUUUUAGUAUAUUAUUUGAUAUUUUCACUUAAUUUUCAGUAUUUUUAUACGCUAAAACAACAUAAGAAAUGAAUGAGACAUUUUAGAGAUAAAUUUUGAAAAAUUUAAAGAGACCAAAAGGAAACAAACAAAAACAUGGGAUAAUCCGUAUUUUUGUCUCUGUCUCAUAUUUUGCCUCUGUCUCAUAUUUUGCCUCUGGUCCACUGAACGGGAAUUGAAGCCAAAAGUCAUAGUGAAAAACAUGGGCUUUACUCGUAUUUCGCUCAUUUUCAUGUGUGAUAACCGCUGGGCUUCAUCACCUCGGUAUGAGGCCAGGCCUUCAAAGGCAGUCCAGACUCAAAGCCCCGAUUCAGGCUCAUAGAGUAGACCGGAUCAUUCACAAACCCACGCCCACUCACUACAGGCUCAGCCCGGUGAUGUGACGUGGGAGGGAUAGUAAAUCCGGUCACUUCGCAGCCUUGUCCUCACGCACGCUGGGAGAAAUUAAAUGGCCACCUGGCGUGGAAAGGACAUCUGACGUUUUUGUACAUACAGACCUACAUGACAGAGGCAAGUGGCACGUAGCAGGAAGGCCGUUACACGUCACUAGCGAACAAAAGGAAAGGAAUAAAAAGAGAGGAACCCUUUUCUCUCAGGAAAAACUUACUCAACUAUUGAAAAACCCUAUUAUCUGGAUCUCAGAACAUCAAUACGUAACGCCUGAUGUUUUUUCCAGACGUCCUAAUUUUAUAGGUUUUCUCCUAAGGCUACAGAUUAGAAGUCUUAAGAGGGUAUAAAUACAUCAUAAUUGAGAGACUAAAAUACUUUUUGCCUACUUUUAAACAUAUAUACAUGGUGAAAAUCGCGAAUACAUAUGCACGACAGAAAUCAAAAAGAGCAUAGGAAGGAAGAAGGAAGACCUAGAAAGAGAGAUUUAUCUAGAGUUUUUAUUUCUUCUAUAAUUCUUUUGAUUUAUUGUUCCCAACUAUUGUAAAAUGAUUUUGGAUAAUUUAUCAAUACAGUUUAUUGUUGAAUUCUUGAACAUGAGUAACUAGAUUCCUCUGACAGGAGACUUGAUAUAACUUGGAUUAUUAAUUCUCUUUCAUUUAUUUGAAUUGAUUUUCUUUACCAAUCUAUUUUUUAAUUUGUGAGAUUAAUACUUUUGAGUACUUAUGGAAUGUUUGAAUGAUUUUAUCAUGAGAUUAAUACUGGAAUGGAACUUUUAGAACUGAAUUGAGAAUUGAAUAUCACAAGAAUACUAAUUAAAUUGAGAAUAAAGAUUUGACUUGUGGAGUCUUAGACAAAAUAAUCAUAGAGUUUGUAAAAUUAGUUAAAGAAUUAUCAAAUUAUUAAAAAAUAGGUAAUAAUUUUUAGGUAAUUAAAUUGGUCUUACUCGAAAGAGAGAGUCAAUUACUUUAGGAUUAUUUACUCUGAAUUUGGUAAUUAAAAUUGGAUUGUUAAUCAAAUAAAUGAAUAAAUUGAAUUAGAUCCGGGUAAAAUCAAUGUAUUGUAAUACUUUCAGGCAUUUUGUCUUGUUAAGUAUUUAAUUUUAUUUUCCUAUUUUAUUUUAAGUCUACACUCAUCCUUCACAAUUGGUAGUCUAAAUAAAAAUCAGAUUUAUAAAUAUUUUAGUAUUUAAUUUCCCAUCCCUGUGAUAAUCUCCUCCUUUUUAUCACUUGAAAUGAUUCAAUACACUUUUGAUAUGGCACCGUUUUUAUCACUUGAGAUGAUUUUAUACACUUUUGAUAUCGCACCUUAUGGUCAGUCAAGUUUUUUCCCCAAAUGCUAGGGAAUAUCACCUAAUGCCACAAGCUCCAAAGGAGAUUAAUCCCAUGAAAAUGACAAGCAUAGGUACUUGGAAUGUUGUUGGAGUUUAACAUAUUGUUUGGGUCAUUUGGUUGCAAGGGGAAGGUCUUGAAUACAAAAUAAUGGUGGUUAACCACAUGAAGAUCAUAUACAUCUAUUAAUUAUAAAAAUAAAGAAAAUAUUUCCAUUAAUAAUUAUCUAGGGGAAGAUGAUAUUAUUAGUAUGAAUUUCAGCAUUAAUAGAAAAUAUUUUAAUUGAAGACUUGUCAAUUUUUGUUCUAGAAAAAAAAGUUGAUAUUAGUCUUGGAUCAAUAUAGCAAAAAAAAAAAAUUCUAAGAUUAGGACUAACAAGCCAUAAUUGCUAUGAGAAUAGCUUUUAGUUAACCUGUACCCAGCCCAAUGAUAAGAAAACCAACCAAAUAUGAAUCGCAAAUUAAAACGCAUACCAAAGGAAGAUUGUGUUAGUAGGUUGACCAUUUCUUCAUCAAGUAGAAUAUUAUGUUUGGUAGAAGUCCAUGGCUUGCUACUCUCUCAAAAAAUUAAUUUGCUCGUUAAAAUUAAUUAUAAACCAACAUUCAAACAUGAAUUGCGAUAAAUACAAAACCGUAACAUACAAAAUUAUAACUGAAUUUAUUACCAAUUAAAUCUUAAAUUUUAUAUUUUAUUUCGCUAGGAUUAACAGAAUUGCCACCUUAUUAAUAUAUCAUUAUCAUAUCAUUUUGCUAUAUUAAUAAAAUUUAAGAAAAAAUUAAUAAUAACUUAAAAGUUUAUAAUUUUAUUGGUAAAGUUUUAAAGUUUAUAAUAUAAUUAUAAAUUUUAUAAAAUUUGAGUUUUUUGUGAUUAAUUCAAAAAUUAAGAUUUACAAGUUUCUUUAUGAAAAUUGUAAUUUUAUAAUUUAAAAAAUGUUAAUUUCUCAUACUAAUUGUGUUUAAAAAUUAAUUUUAUGGUGUUAUUAUUUUAUCAGACAACAAAUCAAGUAUUUAUUUUCGAUACCCGAUCCGAUGAAAUCCUAAUAAAAUAGAUUUAGAUAGUUAUAAUCGGGUUUGAGAUGAGUUCGAGUUUAAAAAAUAAUAUUUGUGGAUUCGAAUCAGGUUCGGAUUUUAUAUAUAAGGUAUCUAUUAUUCGAAUCCAUUUAUAUAAAUAAUUAAUUUAAUAUAAAAAAUAUAUUUUUCAAUAAUAUUUAUAAAUUUAUAUAUAUAUUUUUAUUUAAAAAUUAAAAUUAAAAUAUUUUUUAAAAAUAUUGAAUUUUUUAAAUAAAAUUUUUAAUGAAAAAUAAUUUUAUAUAAAUUAUUAAUUAAAAUAUAUAAAACUAAAUAAUUUUUAUUCGGAUAAUAAUAAUAAUUAAGUCAAGAACGGAUUCGAAUAUUGAUAAUAUAAAUGAAAUUUGGAUUGAGAUAAUUUAAUUUUUGCUGUAUUACUAUAUGUUACUAUUCUUAAGAAAAAACUUUAUUGUAUUUUUAGUUAUAAAAUAUUAAAAAUUAAUUUAAAAUUAUAUUUUACAUAAUUUAGUUCUAAAAAUUAUAAAAUAAUAAAAUAUUACUAUUUUUUUCAAUAUGCUUUUUUAAAUAAUAUUUUUUUUUUUUAUUUUUAUCCAUAUUGUUAAUUAUGCUCUUUUUAAAAUUAAAUAAUAAGAGUGAAUUUCAAACUAAAAAAUUUAGGAGGUGAUUUAAUUUAGACUUAAAUUAAAAUAAAUUGAAUAACUAAGUUAUUGGAAAAACUAAAAAAAUUAUAACUAUGAUAUAAAAUAUUUUUUUAAUAUUAUAAAUUUUAGUUUUGAAGCAAUAAUCAAAACACCCUAAACUUAAAAAAAAAUAUAAUUGCAUUUUAAAUUUUUAAAAUUUACUAAUUAAAUUUAAAAUUUUUUAAGUUAUAAUUAAUUUUAUUAUAAAUUUUGAUACAGUAAAAUGAUGUGAUAAUGAUAUCUAAUAAUAAUUUUUUUAGUUUUUAAUAAUAAAAUUAAAUAAUAAAAUAUAUUUGAGACAAAACAUAUAUUAAACAACUUAAUUAACUGCAAAAUGCAUUUUUUGGAGAAAAUAUAAAAUUUAGGAUUUAAUUAUUAUAAAUUUAAACUUAUUUAGUGAAAGAUAAUUUAAUUAAAAAAUUUUAAAUUUUUUAAAAAUGUUAAAAUUAUAUCUGUUCAAUUGACAUUUUUAUUUAAUUUUUUUAACAGUUGAAAUUAUUUAUUUUUUUAAAAAAAUUACUCUCCUCACCUAAUUAAAGCUAUUUUUCUAGUCAAUUUAAAUCAAACUAUUAGAAAUAAUCAAUUCAAUUUGAAUUAAACUAAGAAAAGUAACCGAUUUAAAUUAAACUAGCAUAAGUUCAAAAUUUUUUUUUUCGAUUAACUCGUUUUGAGUUUAAACAACAAAAAAAAUUAAAAAACCAAACCAAACCGCGGCCGGGUUGAAUUACAUACUCCAGUUUAACUACGUCACACACUUUCUUCUUCUUUAGCUCUGACUCAUUUCCUUUCUUAUAAAUAUUGUUAAUUGGUGUCUAACAGUAAAGGGGCAAAGAGGAAACCUGCUACAAAGAAUCCCCCAAUAGCAAACAAUCCAAUUUCCAAGUUUUUUCUCUCAACUCUUCCAUCUCUCGCAUCUUUCCCUUCAUUUUCCUCCCUUCCAAACAAGCUCCAUAUUUUUCUUAGGGUUUUUAUAAUUAUCUCCUUCUUCCUCACUCUUUUUUCCGCAUGGAUUCCGAGGACGAUAUGAUGGACGCCAACUAUGUUGACUCUGUAGACGAUGAUUUCUACAGCGGUGACAUGGAUGAUGAUUACUAUAGUGAUGGCGGUGAGGACGGUUAUGAUGAUGGUCCUGACUACGAUUUUAUGGCUGAGGCUGCCGAUGAUCUCGAUGAUAUGGUGUUGAGCCGGAUGCAGGUAUUUUUGUGAACUUUUCUGAUUUUAUUAUUCACUUUUUAAUCUAGUAAUUUUUCUAUGUAAUUUUUAUUUGGUAUUUUUAGAUUUUAUUCUAUAUGUAUUUCGUUGAUCAGAAUUUAGGUAUGUAGAAAGUAAAAAAUUGGUCCUUUUGAGUGGGGGGAUUAGUUUUGAGAUCAUUCUGAUUGUGUUAAUAUCACGAUCCCAUAUCGACAAUUUAUGGAAAAAUGGAAUUGUAUAUAAUAGCUAGAAGUAGAAAUUUUAUUCUCAUUGUUGCUUUUAUUUACCCAGUAUACAACUUAUUGUUUGCCCAUGGAAUUUUAUAUGCAUUUGAAAAUUGUAAUAACUGUUUGAGGAAACUAAUGGCUGCUAAACUUUUUAUUUUAUUGUAUCUUGUUUUUUUUCUUUUAAAAUCUUCACUUGUUCCAUAGCAUACAAAUAUUUGUAGAAGUUGUGUAAUUACUUGACUGAAUUGAGUUUAUCCUUUCAUCUAAGAACAGAAUAUCAGACGCUGUUAGGCUUUAGUUUUUUCUUAAUACAUAUUUGCUUUUUCUGUUAAUUUUAGUGGCUACACGAUUAUCACAUGUUAUGUGUUGUUCAAAGGCAUUUUGAACCUUUAAUACAUCAUAAGAAAUUUUAAUACGGGAUUUAUGUUCAUCCUUGAAUUUGGAAAAAUUUUAUUAUAAAUAGGUGCUUUUAAAUUUCAGUAGUCUUUGGUUUUGAAUUUACUGUAUUUUUGUCUGUUUAAUUUUGACAUUUUAUACUUGUUCUGUUUCAGCAAAGUUAUACUGUCUUGAGGGAAGGAGAUAUACAACAACGUUUGGAAGAUGAUAUUGCUAGUGUGUCCACUGUCCUUUCCAUAUCAAGAUUUGAUGCAAUCAUCUUACUCCGUCACUAUAACUGGUACCUGGACUCUUGCUUUUUCAUUUUUCUUUGUUUUUAUGGUUUACUAGUUUAUCUGGAUAAUGAUAUGCAGCAUUGCAUCUUAGAAUAUGUGGACUAUCAUAUGCAUCUUUUGGUUUUCUGAGAAGAUAUAAUGAAUGAAUUAUAUGACGGAAGUAUAUAAGGGAAACUUCUGAUGUUGCAUUUUAUAUGAUAUGGCUGUAUGACAGGUUUUCUUCUGGUUUCUUGGUAUUCUGAUAAAAAUUUGCCUUACAGGAGUGUCAGUAAGGUGCAUGAUGAAUGGUUUGCUGAUGAAGAGGCAGCCCGGAAAUCUGUUGGCUUACUGGACAAGCCAGUUGUCCAAUUUUCCAAUAUUAGAGAAGUUCGUACUUCAUAUAUUAUUAUUAAUGUGCAGUUGGGGUGGGUAAUGUUCGGCUUGUUUAAUCUUACACAUCACUAUCUCUUGUCUGUCUUGCAUUUUUUUUUAAAUUUUAAAGCAGUUUACUUGCGGAAUAUGUUUUGAAUCCUUUCCUUGUGAGAAGAUUACUUCAGCUGCUUGUGGCCAUCCCUUUUGCUUGUCAUGCUGGUCAGGUGCGUCUGCCAUUUUCUGAUGGAGCUUCUCCUGAUAUCGAUGUCCCAUUGUUGAAUGUUCCUGAUAUUUAUGUUCCAUUAUUGGAUGUAAACUUGAUAUCUUAAGUUUUCCAUACGUAUAUUCAUUUUUGUUUUUCUAAUAAUAUAAGAUAGCUUGAAGUUCCAGUAAACAUUUCCUUAAGUCAUCUCCCUUGCUAAUGAGCUGGUAUCCUUGUUUGUUUUUAUUUCUAAAUGUCAAACCGUACUUUGAUUUGUUUAUUAGUAUGAAAUUUGUCGUGAGCUGAUGUAAGCAUCUAUUUUUAAUUUGUUAUCCUUUCUAUGUACUGUGAGAAAUAUCUCUUAUAUGUCCUUUUGUUCUUUGGGUUUAUGAAUUUGGAAGAAUCAUAUAAUAUUCAAUAGAAUGUUCUGAUUAGGUCAAGUCUAUUAUUUUAAGAAAAUGGAUAUCUUGGUUCUAGUCUUUACCUAUUGUGAAUUUCUCUAUUUUUCUUAGAUUUGAUUGAUGUACUAGAUUAAUUGGUUGAUUUGUUCCUCUUUUCUUUUUUUUUUUUUCCUUUUUCUGCACUGUUGUUUACUUCUCAGUAAUUUUCUGAUACCUUUUUGGUACGUCUCUUUCAUAAAUAUUUUUAUAAAAAAUUGUGGUUUAAUUUUGACCAAGUGAAUGCCCUGCUUUCUGUUAGAUGGCAGUGUUUAGUUUUUAUUUUGUUGAAAGCAAAUAAGCAAUCAAUAAAUAUCAAUAUUUAUUGUCAUGUAUUGUUGGAUACUUGAUCUCUUCUGCAACUCUCCAUUAUGUUUGUCAUUAGCUCUUUGUCAUCUACCAUUAUUGAUAGGUUACAUCAGUACAACAAUUAAUGAUGGUCCAGGAUGUUUGAUGCUGAGAUGCCCUGAUCCAUCUUGUUGGGCUGCUGUUGGUCAAGACAUGAUAGAUUUGUUGGCAUCUGAUGUAGAUAAGGAUAAAUACUCUCGUUAUCUUCUUAGGUCCUAUGUUGAAGACAACAGAAAGGUUUGUCUUGGAUUUGAAAACCUUAAGGUCUUUUUCUUAUAUUUUAACACUGGUGCCUUCUGUGAAACAAUAUUUGCUGAUGUGCUGAAGAUUGAAAAUUGAGCAACUCUUUUUUGCUCCUACUUUGAAUUUCUUUGUUUAAGACACUAGCUUAUCUAUCACCUUCAUCUCAUUAUGAAGUAAGUUGUCAGGGUUUUCAGAGGUUGUAGUCCCUAAAUCUGUAUGACAUUGAAGUUAAUGACAAAGAAAACCUCUUGCCAUGUUGACUUUGGUAGUUACUUGCUAAUAAUGCUUUGACAACUUGUCAUUAUUUCCAAUCAUAGUUGUAGAUAAAUGUUAUAAUGCAUUUCAGUCUGGAUUUCUUUUUUUGUCACACAUUCUAUUCUGCUAUCUUUUCUUAAACUCAAGAAAGAAGAGCUGUUAAUCUCUUUUUCCUCGGUUGCUUUUUAGAAAAUGUUGAUAUAGCAUCUAUCUAUUUAUGUAAACUUAUUAAUAUCUCAGUGUCACUUCCAAUCAUGGGGAAGUACCCUCCUAACCUUUUUCCUCUGAUAUAGUCAGCAUUAAAGUCCUUAUUGUAGGAUAAUUCGGGUUUAAUAUUAUGGGAACUGAGCUUAUAUUUGGAAGCAAAUUAUGAGUCUCAUGGAGAAGAGCAAUUUUAUAAGUAUUACAUUCCUAGAAUGAUUUUCCUGCAUUUUACAUUUGAAAACAUCUAAAAUGAAUGCCAGUUUUUUCUUCGUUUUAUGUUUCUUGUGCUUCUAAAUGUUUUUGUUUCAUGCAUUUUUUGUUGUCUACUUUUAGACCAAGUGGUGUCCUGCUCCAGGGUGUGAGUAUGCUGUUGAUUUUGCUGCUGGUGGUGGAAGCUUUGAUGUUUCCUGCCUCUGUUCAUAUAGCUUUUGCUGGAAUGUGAGUUUCCUAUUGACUUUAAAUAUUAUUGUGUUAAGAUUAAUUCUUGUAAACUGAUUAGUAAAAACCAUUUGAUUAUUGCAGUGCACAGAGGAAGCUCACCGUCCUGUGGACUGUGGAACUGUGUCGAAGUGGAUUUUGAAGAACAGUGCUGAGUCAGAAAACAUGAAUUGGUAGGGAAUAUAUUGAAUCGUCUAAAGCUAUAUCUUGUGAUUAUAGUUGUCUGGGUUUGCUUCUAAUAAUUUGUUCCCUUAGUUUUUCACCUGCGAUAAUUUGACAAUUUGUAGGCAUGGUAUGGCAGGAUUAUUAAUUGGCCUUGCAUUGUGCAUGUAUUUAGGGUGUUUUCUUGGUUUGACCUCAGUUGCAUGGUGGCAAAUUUUUUAAUGAUAUUCCUUCUUUGUUUUUCUUUAAAAAUAUGAUGGUUUAGUAGGGUCAUUCAUUUCACAUAUUAACAUUGAAUUUUUUUGAUUGCUGUUGAGUGGCAUAUGAUAUUAUCCAAAGGAGUAUACAAUUUGUUCUUUGUGUGUUUUCUGUUUUCAAGCAAUAAUGUUGCUUUUUUAUUAAAGAAUACUAGGAUAUAUUAUGAGCAUAAUCUUUGUAGUUUCAAGAGAGAGGAGUAUUCUAUGUUUCUAAUAUUACAUAUAUCAUUGUUGAUCUCUACAUCCUCGGUUAAUAUAAUGAUAUCAUUUGAACUUUGCCAAUUGUCUUGGUUAUUAAGAAAAGGAGUCGUCAAGUGUGGGGGAACUUUCCAGGAUUGAAGUGGAGAAAGGAUCUUAUGAUAGAUACUAGUGACUAGACAACGUCUCAUUAGGGUUGAUUGGUCUUCAUGGUAACAAACUAUAAUGUGAUUUCAGGCGAUAUGCACAGGCGUUGUUUGUGCACAUAUUUGAACACAAAUAUUAUUAGUAACUUCUAUAUAUUCUUAAUAUUGGAAUUGUGCUUUCAUUUGGUGGUGAAAAGAUGUAACAAGUGGUUGAUUUGGAUACUUUCUUAGACUUACUUCUUCACCUUCCUGAACAAACUAGAGAAAACAUGUGUUGUUCAUUAUUGCUGGCCACAUUUUAUGGACAAAUGUAUUUGUGCACUGUAAGAAUAUAUAAUAUUUGUUAUGUUAUGUUAAUGUCUUAAUUUUUUAUUGUUUGCUCCAUGCUAAUUUUGAUGUUCUGACACUCAGGAUACUUGCCAACUCCAAGCCUUGUCCAAAGUGCAAGCGUCCCAUUGAAAAAAACCAAGGGUGUAUGCAUAUGACGUGCACACCACCCUGUAAAUUUGAGUUUUGCUGGUAACUUGUGUUUUAUGUUAGAUUUUUAUUUUUUAUAUUAAUCAUAAUUGUUUUUGCCUUCAUCCUUAGAUGGAAUUUAGUUUUUGAUAUGUUAAGGAUGUGAAUGUGUAAUUGCAGGCUAUGUCUUGGUGCAUGGUCAGAUCAUGGGGAGAGGACUGGUGGUUUCUAUGCUUGUAACCGAUAUGAGGCAGCUAAACAAGAGGGAGCAGUAUGGGCAUUAAUAAGUUGUCAUUUAUAUAAAAUUCUACUUAUUGCUGCAGCCAUUUCUAUAAAUAGUGGUGAAGUCUAUCCUCUUUAUGACUAAGAAAAUUGAUGUUCAUGCUUGUAGUAUGAUGAAGCAGAGAGGAGGCGAGAAAUGGCAAAAAAUUCUUUGGAAAGAUAUACUCAUUAUUAUGAACGUUGGGCAAGCAAUCAAUCGGUAUGAGAAAUUUUGGAGUUUUAUUUUUGUUUAUCUUAUGCCAUGGCAUGUCUUUGUUAUCUGUUCAUUCUCUUUAUGUUUGUUAGUGUCAAUCUGUACUCUGUUAUGAUUGUUUGACCUUGUAAGUUGUCAUUGUUACCUGCAUUCUUUAAGAAUAAGUAGGAGGGAUAGGAUUUAUUUACUCUCAAUAUGUUUGUGUGACGUAGAGAAAGAAUGGGAAGAAAAGGGAUGGGGGAGCUGGGGAGGGGAGUAAUAUUUUGGGGGUUGUUUACAACCAUGGUACAUGCUAUUUGGUUUCUCACAUCUUUUUCCCUUCCACCAUUUUCUGCUAAGAAUUUCAUUCACUCUCAAUAUAUUCCAAUCAUAAAUGGCGUGGAGCUGAUUUUUUUUUCCUUGCUUAAAGGUUCACAUCUCCCCCCCUCCCACCUGAAUCUCUAUAGCUGCAUUGAGCAGCUUUUUAAAGCUUAUGUCUUGGAUUUGCUUAUUUACAUUCAAGAGAUUAUUAGGGAAGUUGGAGUUGGUUUCUUUGGUACUGGAUAGAAGCUUUGUGCAGCUUGGGUUAAAGUUUAACAUGGCAAUCCAAAUAUUUAGUUCUGUUAUUUGCUUUUUGUCUAGCACCUUCCUCAAUAAAUUUUGAGGUAAUCAGGUGUGAUAUGAUUGUUAUAUUAAUGCAGGCCUAUCAAGUUCCAGAUUUAAGAUUGUGUUAGUUUCUUUUGUAAUUUGGCUUAGAUGUGAUCUGCAACUAUGGUAGCAUUUGAGUGUAGGCUAUGUAUAUUUUUAUUUAAUGGUCUGUUGAUGUCUAACCAUUGAUCAGGCAGGCACAAUUUGACGGUUUUAAGAAGUCUAAUGCCCCUAAGCUCUAAAAUUCUGAAAGCUUAAAUUACAUUGAUUUAAGGCCUAUUUAUGGAGAUGUUAAGCUCCUAAUCUAAUUAGAGAACUCUAAAAGUUCUGAAAGCUUAAAUUACAUUGAUUUAAGGCCUAUUUAUGGAGAUAUUAAGCUCCUAAUCUAAUUAGAGAAAAUUUAACUGCUAUUAGGAAUUUUAGAAAAACUCAAUUACAAAUGAAAAACCUAAAAUACGAAAACUAAAACCUAAUUGGAACGGAAACUUAACUAACCUUUAUUUGGUUGGAAAAAAUAAAUCGUAGUUAGAAUAGAGAACUCCUAAACUCUCUCUAAAAUAAUUUCUGCUGCUGUUAUUGGAAAAAAGAAGUCUGAAUUGUAUUUCGACUGCUGUAAAAGCAAAAAAAAUAAAAAUAAAAUAAAAUAAAAAUCUUUAUGUGCUGGGAAAGGAAACACACCUGAGGUAUGUUCUGGCCUGUGAUUGCCCUGGUGUGUUCUUUAUUGUUUGAAGGCAGGAGUCCUGCAUCAAGCCAGACAUUGAUUCUUCAUGGCAGCAUGAGAGGGGGUCUGCCUUGCACCACUUGCUGUUGUCUAUAUCAGUAGACUAUUUAUUUAUUAUUAUUUUUUGGGGUGAACAACAGAGAUGAGAAAUGUCGAAAUGUGGCUGGGCUAUACCUUAUUGUGGCUCAAUGUUGUAAUCUUUUGAGGAAAUAGCUGAAUGUUGUAGGAAUAGAUGGAAAAGGUUCUGAAUAAUGCAAUUAAGUGUUAGACAAAAGUUAACAGGAGGGAAAUUAGAAGAAAUAAUGACAGAGCCCCUGUUAUGAUUGUUUCACAUAUUUCAAGUAAUUUACUAUACCAUUAUUAAAUUGGCACUUCAAAGAUAAGUACAGCCAUUACAUACAAAAAAUAGUCGAAUUAUUUUCACUCUUAAUAUGAUAACAACUGAGCCUGCAACUUGUAAGUGUCAAAUUGGGAUUAAUUGCCUACCUCUUAUAGGGAUCUCUGAAGAAAGUUACAGAUAUCUGAGAAACUGUCUGGCUCUGGCUUUAUAAUUUCAUCAAGUUAGUUAUUCUUUUGGCUGCUAAAUAUCUACUAUUGGUUCCAUCUCACUUUUGCAUCUCUUGUAUAAUAGUAAAUAUCAGGUAUGCGAACG